AACAUUCCUAAAGCAGAUCCCAAUCUAUCAGAGGCCUUGAGCUCCCCAGAAAAUUUUUAUGCUCUCUAUUUGGAAAGCCAUAGAUCCUAUGUCAAAACAGCAAUAAUUGAUCAAGUACUAGUAUCAGAAUCCAUCACUUCUCUUGCCGGGAUAGUUGUUGAUCUAUUCUGUAGUUCGAUGGUUGAUGUAGCGAAUGAGCUUGGCGUUCCUUCAUAUGUGUUCUUCACCUCUGGCUCUGCCUAUCUUGGUUUCGUGUUUUAUCUUCCAAUUCACAACAAAAAUGGAAGAGAGUUCGAGACUUCAGACCCUGAUUCAAUUAUUCCAACAUAUUCUCACCCUGUACCUUCAAAUGUUAUACCUUCUUAUGCAUUUAACAAGCAUGGUGGUUAUUCCUCAUUCGUAAAACAUGCUACCAAGUUCAAGGAGACAAAAGGAAUCAUCAUAAAUACGUUUGCAGAAUUAGAAUCUCAUGCUGUGGAUCGAUUGAAAUUCGAUGCUGAAACACCGCCAAUCUACACAGUUGGACCCCUGCUCGACCUGGAGGGCAGAAAGCAAGAGCCUGAUCACUAAAAAAUAAUGAAAUGGUUAGAUGAUCAGCCUCCAUCAUCAGUUGUAUUUCUCUGUUUUGGAAGCAUGGGUAGUUUUGAGCCUGACCAGUUAGCAGAGAUGGCACUUGCACUCGAGUGGAGUGGAUACAGAGUCUUGUGGUCAGUCCGGUUAUCAAAGGCCUAUACAAAAGGGACAGGUGAGCAUUCCAAUAUUUCUGAAAUGUUGCCACAAGGCUUCUUAGAGCGCGUCCAAAAUCGAGGAUUGGUGAGUAGUUGGGCACCACAAAUGGAGGUGCUGGCUCAUGAAGCAGUUGGGGGAUUUGUAUCUCAUUGUGGCUGGAACUCUAUACUAGAAAGCCUGUGGCAUGGGGUGCCUGUUGCAACAUGGCCUGUAUAUGCUGAGCAACAAAUCAAUGCGUUCGAGUUGGUAAGAGAGUUGGAACUGGCUAUGGACUUGAAAAUGGAUUGUCGAAUGGAAAAUGCAAAGAAUCUUGUAGUGGCUGAGGAAAUCGAGAAAGCUAUCAGAUGCUUGAUGGACACAGAGAAUCCAACAAGAAAAAGAGUUCUAGAAAUGAAGGAGAUAAGCAGAAAGGCCAUUGAAAAAUUUCAUUUUCCAAAACACUAAUCUCUUUCGCCUUUAAAUUUCAAUCAAUUGCAUCUUUUAAAAUCCUAAUUUUACUCUUUUUGCCUCUGAGUCUCAUCACUUGCAUUUAUUGACCUCUUCGAGGAGUCAAUUUUGGCCGUCACAAUCAAUGUGCUCGGUGCCAAUCAAACCUCAAAGAGAUAUUUUGCCCCACUCGAUUCACCACUAGGUUUAGGUUUUGCAUCCAUAUAGUGACAUCUAAAUGUGAUAAAUUUUUAGGUUAAAAUAAGAAAAUCUUUUGACUAAAUCACGCAACUAGCUCUAGGCUAGGUUGAAAGGGUGCCUUGGAUUUUAUCUUUGCCUUUCCUUUCUUCAAACGUGACUCCUGAACACUUUUCUCUGAUUUUCGAAAACUUGGAGUCGUUUAAAAAGGGUUUUUUCUACUUUUUCUUUAAAAAUUUAUUUUAGGUGACUUGGUACACCUUAACUCAAUAACAAGUGGCGACUCCUAUUUUAUUAAAAAUUCUUUUUAAACUAUUAUUUUGGGUCAAAACCGUCACACUUUUAAAGUCCCAUUUAGACCCGUUUUCUUUAUUUAUUUUCUAAAAAAAUGAAAAACUCAUUUUCACUUAAAACUAAUAAAAAUUCAUUUUUUACAAACCCGUAAUUUUAUUAUUUCUUUAAAAAAAUGGGGCGCGACAGAAAGGUUAGAGGAAUAGUGGGUGUUGAGAAAGAAAAAAAGGAAUGAGUUGAGGAGUACAGUGGAGGGAGGCGAUUUGGGUAGGGGGCGAGGGGAAAAGAGUAGAGCGAAGGGAAAGAGAGAGGUGGAGGCAUGGUGGGAAGGAAAGAAGAAAGGAGAAAGUGAGAAGAAAAAAGUAGAGUAUUCUUUUCAAGUGGAGGGCACAGGUAAUGUAGAGGAAUGUUAGUGUAUUCUUUUCAAGUGUUUUUAGUUCUGAAUAAGUUCUUUGUGGCAUUUUUUAAGAUAUUACUAUGGCUUUUGUUUUUUAAAAAACGUGUUACUGUAAAUAUGAUGUAAAAAUUAGGAGUCGUUCAGAAAUCUUACUUCCCACUAUAGAUAGUACAGGUUGCCUGAGAAGACAAUGAUUUUCUGUUCAAAAAGCUAUUAUUGCUGAGAGACAGGUAUUGGAGUUUCUAUAAGGAACCAAAUUAACCAGGAGGGAAGUUGUCCACCAAAAUAUUGAACCAAGAUUAAGGUAUCUCAAUCUGCGCAAGUGAGCCAACUCGCGAGGCAGUUCUUCAAGGAAAUUGUUUCUGCUAAUGUCAAGGGAAAUGAGAAAGGACAGAUUCCCAAGUUGAGGAGGUAUGGUACCACCAGAAAAGUUCAUGUUUGAAAUAUGCAAGGCAGUCACUCGACCUGUCGAGAACUGCAAGGGACAAAUGGAGGAAGUAAUUGACCAAUUUUUUGCCAAGAAAUCUUGAGGUUCUAAAGUGAUCAUGUCACUGAUUGAUCCAUAGUAAUAUCACUGUUGCUAGCUGCCAUGCUAGCUAACCUAAAGAUACGCAAGAAGAAGUAGUAGAUUUUGUCCUUGGCCAUGCUCAUGGUUCAAUUUCAGAUUUCCACAAACACCAGGGCACUCACUAAUUAAGAAUUGGGAUGAACUGCAAAACGAUAUAUACAGAUAGAAACGAGCAUGGAAGUCCACUAAUAACACAUUCCAGGAAUAAUAAAACCAUAUCAAUGGAGAAAGGCCGUAACAUUGAUUUAUUUUCCAAGUAGGUACCAAACAUGGACUAUCAAAUCAUGGACAAAAUGGAGCUUGCGACAUUGGUCGAGAAGAGGCUGCCAUUAACUAGUCUUGGUUUAUUCCUUCAUUGACUUUAAUUCCAGUUUCCAUUAGUAUAUAUGUGGAUGGAGAAGAAACAAACCCAAAUCUGAACUUGUCCCCAUUUGAAGUCUCCUUUGAAAGUGAAUGGUAUGCUUUUGCCAUUCCAAUUUUAUGGCAGGGAAUUGUUAAUUUUCUGCUUUUUGUCACUAGAUUGUUUAAACUAAAAGGUAGCUAAGAACUCAGUCAGAAUUAAAAAAAGGAAAAAGAAAAGCAAAAUAAAGCCCCUUAUGCAAUGUUCCCUAUAACUGAAAGUCCAAAUGCGAUGUAGAUGACACCUCUAGAUCUCUCUCUCGGAAUAAUGUACAUCUCUCUCUGACCUUCAAAAUAAAUCAAGCUUACAAAUUAUACUGAAGCAUCUAUUUGCAUUGGCCAAAAGCAUUGUUUCUGAUAUGAUCAAGACCUGACAGUAUGCUGCAAAAAAAUAGCAGGUUAUAAGCUCAAUUGAAUGAGGACACAUAACUUUCAUCAUUGAGAAGUAAAAUUUGCACAAAAAGGAUAAAUACUUACUGUCAUCAGAAAUUGAAAUUGAUGCUUGAUCUUUAUUAGUUCUGCUAAAACAUCUUUCAUACUGAUCCUUUCUCUUGGACAUUCUGUACAGCAGUUCAAAGCCAAUUUCAUAAUCAAUGUAACACACUUCAGCUUGUCAGUGAAAUGCUCAUCCUCUGGCCUAAUUAAGUUUGCAUCAACGACCUGAAGUGCAUCAGGAAGAGAAUCUUCUACCCAACUUUUAAGGCUUAAAUCUCCUGAAAACGUUUCAUCACCAGGCCUUAUCCUUGAAAAAAUUUCCAUCAAAACUAUUCCAAAACUGUAUACAUCAAUUCUUGUUGAAACUAUCCCCUCCGAUCCAUACUCUGUCAUAAGAUUACAAUAGUCAGGAUAAUAGAAUUAGUUAACAGAUUAACAACAGAUGAACAACAUCGUAGAAGUACAAAAAAUGUAGACAGCAAAAGUUAAAUGCUUAACCUGGUGCAAUGUAUCCCAGUGUUGCAAGGGUAUUGGUAUGCAAAAUACUUUCUCCUUGGCCAAACAUUUUUGCUAUACCAAAGUCACUUACAUGGGCAGCCAUAUCUUCAUCAAGCAAGAUAUUACUGGGCUUCAAGUCACAAUGUACCACAGGAGCAUCAUAACCAUAAUGGAGAUAUUCCAAUGCACAAGCAACGUCAAUCAUUAUGUUUAUUCUUUGGAACAUAUCUAAAAAAUGGUUGUGAGAGUACAACCACUUCUCAAGAUUCCCAUUGGGCAUGUAUUUGAGUACCAAGGCUUUAAAAUUAAGGUUACAGCAGCUGCCGAGCACUUUUAUAAGAUUUCGAUGGCGUAAACUCUUUAGAACCUCGCAUUCUUUAUCAAAACUUUUUAAUGAACCUUCCACUAGCAAGUUGAAUACCUUGAUAGCCACAAUAGUGCCAUCACUUAGGAUCCCUUUGUAAACAGAACCAUAGCUCCCUUCUCCAAGCAAAUUGCUUUCAUUGUAGUUAUCGGUUGAGUGCAAAAGGUCAUAGUAUGAAAAUCUUUCAUAUUUUGCCGCUGACAUCAACUCUAUUCCACUAGAACUCUUUGGUUUCUUUAGCCACCUUAGAUUCAAUAAUGCUCCAAUUGCUAUUAUCAGUAUUGCUGCCAUCCCUGACAGACUAAUGACAAGUAGAAGCACCUUUCUUUUGCUCGAUCUUCUAAUUGAAUUACUCUGACAUAGUGGAACACUAAGCCUUGGGUCACCACAGAGUCCUUCAUUGUUCAUGAACAAUUGACCUGUAAAGUUUCUGAAGGGACCAUCUCGAGGAAUUUCGCCACUUAAUCUAUUAAAAGAAACAUUGCAUUCCUUGAGAGAUUUGAGUGCCUCCAUUGACUUGGGUAUUACACCAGAGAGAUUAUUGUGUGAAAGGUCCAAGAAUUCCAAGCUGACUAUAUAGCUAAAUGAUUCUGGUAUAGAACCCUGCAAAUUAUUUUUCGCCAAUGAAAGGCUCUGUAAAGCUUGCAGCUCUCCAAUGGUUGUAGGGAUUUUGUCUGAUAAUUGAUUGAACGAGAUAUCUAAACUAUAUGCUGCUUUGAGGUUCCCGAUCUCCAAAGGUAGCGAUCCACUUAAGAAAUUUGAUGAAAGGUUGAGAAUUUGGAGAUCUUUCAUGCUCAAUAGGUUAGCAGGUAUCAUGGAAGUCAACCUGUUGGAGUCUAGAAAAAUCUGUCUCAAAUUUGUCAUAUUUCCUAAGCAUUCUGGAAUACUACCAAAGAAUUGAUUUUGGCUCAAGUCUAACAACCCCAAACUUUGUAAUCCACAAAAAAUGUCCAAGACAUCUCUUAUUUGAUUGGAGUCCAAGUACAGCACCUGAAGAUUUGCCAAACUAUGUAUAGUUCUUGGGACAGAUCCAAUCAAUUCAUUACCUGAAAAUUCUAGUUCCACCAAACCGCUCAAAUUGCUGAUUCCAUCUGGGAUGUUUCCCUUGAUUCUACAACUUUUUGCAGUUAUGACUUCAAGUGAAGUCGAAUAGUUAGAAAAGGAAGCUGGCAGAAAACCAUUUAGAGGAUUAUUAUCCAACACUAAAUAUGUCAAAGAUCUGCAACUCGUCAAGAAAGUGAAAAAGCUCAAUUCUGAGGAUUCACUUGAUAGCCUGUUGUAAUCCAGGUAUAGAUAUUUUAGAUUUCUUAAACUUGCUAAAGAGGUGGGGAUUGAACCUGUGAGCUCAUUAUUGUAAAGCACCAAAAAAACUAGCUUAGUAGCAUUUGAGAUGGUGCUAGGUAUACCUCCGCUCAAGUAAUUCUGAUCAAGAAAAAGAGACUCCAAAUUGCUUAGCUUAUUAUUACUCACUGUGAAAGGAAUAGUUCCUGAGAAUUUAUUCUGGUCAAGUCCAAUAUGUUGGAGAGAUGAAAUGUUGAAAAUUGCAGCUGGUAUGGAACCCGAUAAUGCAUUGUUGUAUAAAUAAAGCUCCUCCAAUCUGUGAAGGUUCCCAAUCUUUUCGGGUAUUCCACCUGUAAUACGGUAAUUGAAGUGCUUUUGCAUUAGCAUACAAUCGGCAACUUUCCAUUGGCAAUGUCUAGCAAGGUUCUAAAUUUUUUUUUAAAAAAAAAAUCUUUUAGAAUAAUAGAAAGUUAUCGGUCUUCCCAGAUCCUUCUAGCAAGGCUUUAAAACUAACCUCUUUGAACAUAAAAUCCAUUAAAAGGAAAAGUUAAUUUCAUUCAACCGAACAUAGGCGCAAGUUAUCCUAUAGAUCAAACUGAUGUGGAGUUUUAAAGAUGAUCUACGCAAUUAAGACCUUGUCAUUAGGAAAGAAGACAUACCUGUCAAUUUGUUGUUGCUAAAAUCUAAAUCCAUCAACAUAGCUAAAUUCCCUAUUUCAGCUGGAAUUACACCUGCAAAAUUGCAACUUGUAUGAGUUUGAUUUGACUUGAAAUGAAAAAACGUAGUAACAAAUAAUGAUGAGAUUUUUGAACUUUCCAAAUGCAUUAAUUGGAAAUAGUCGUGAUCCUUUCAUGCUAUAGAUCCAAUUGCAUGCUGAGUUUUGCUUAUGGUUUAAGCAAUUAAGAACUUGUAAUUAGGAACUUAAGCAUACCAGUCAAUUUGUUGUCUCUAAAUUCUAAAGCCGUCAACAUAGCUAAAUUCCCUAUUUCAGUUGGAAUUGCACCUGCAAAAUUGCAGCUUUUAUGAGUUUGAAUUGACUUGUAAUGAAGAAACAUAGUAACAACCAAUGAUGAGAUUUUUGAACUUUCCAAAUGCAUUAAUUGGAAAUAGUCGUGAUCCUUUCAUGCUAUAGAUCCAAUCCUAAGAACUUGUCAUUAGGAACGAAGACAUACCUGUCAAUUUGUUGUCAUAAAAAUAUAAAAUCGUCAACAUAGUUAGAUUCCCUAUUUCAUUUGGAAUUGCACCUACAAAAUUGCAACUUUUAUGAGUUUGAUUUGACUUGUAAUGAAGAAAUGUAGUAACAAAUAAUGAUGAGAUUUUGGAACUUUCCAAAUGCAUUAAUUGGAAAUAGUCGUGACCCUUUCAUGCUAUAGAUCCAAUUGCAUGCCGAGCUUUGCCUAUGGUUUAAGCAAUCAAGACCUUGUCAUUAGGAGCGAAGACAUACCUGUCAAUCAAUUUGUUGUCACCAAAACUUAAAAUCGUCAACAUAGUUAGAUUCCCUAUUUCAUUUGGGAUUGCACCUGCAAAAUUGCAACUUUUAUGAGUUUGAUUUGACUUGUAACAAAAAAAAAUGUAGUAACAAACAAUGAUGAGAUUUUUUAACUUUCUAAAUGCAUUAAUUGGAAAUAGUCGCAUGGUUACUCAUUGCAGUAACCAUGUGGCAUCUGUGGGAGGAAAGAAAAUAGGAUAGUUUUUCUGCUUGCUAAGACAAAUACUAGUAAAGUUUUAUCAGACAUUGCCAAGGUUAUUCAACUAUCUAUCGAAAAAAAAAAAGUGAUACUAUUAGUAAUAUCAGGGGAACAGUCAAUGUUAAGAGUUAAGACCCAUGCGAUAAGAGUGUUUAUGUUAUAAAUCUAUUUGACAAACCUUAGGGUUUGAUAUGUAGGACCUUUUAGUAAUAUUGACAAACCUUAGGAUCGGAUAUGUAAUUUGACCAAACCUCAAAAUAACCAGAACUCCUGGGCGCUAACGAUUAUACACUACACACAACUCUAAACCAAGACACCAAUUUAAAACUCAUAAGGUUACCUCACAUUUCUACUAAACACUUGCCGUCCAUUUAUACAUGCAAUAAGUUACCAAUGAAGGCGGUGCUGAUUUCCUUCGGGAAGUCUAGAUAUGCAACUUGCAUAUAGACAAAUCUAGGAAUGCUGCUAGACUAACAGAGAGAGAGAGGCUGUGCUUUCUCAUCACUGUCUAUCAAAACCGCCAAAAAAAAAUGUUCUGUUUCUCUGAAACCUCCAUAUAGAAAAACAAAAGCAUAAGCUUAUUAGAUAUCUAUAAAGCAUAUACAAGAACAGAAGCAUAAGCUUAAUCUAUACUUAAAAAAUAGGAAUAAAAGCAGUCACUAAUACAUUUUACCUGUUAAAUUGUUGCUCUCCAGGUAUAGUUCCUCCAGCAUUGUCAAGUUCGCAAUUCCCAUGGGUAUCGGUCCACUUAAACGGUUCUCAGACAAGGCAAGAUACCGAAGCAGUGAACACUGAGACACUGUUGACGGUAUUCGACCAAUCAAAUUGUUAUAUUGUAGACUAAGCCAUGUAAGUUUCUGAAGGCGCUGACAGACGUCGUCCGGAAGAAUGCCUGAUAGGCUGUUAUGCAUGAAGGAAAUUAUUUCCAGUGAGGAAAGAUUGAAAACAUGGAGAGGCAAAGGACCAGAAAGCUGGUUAUACUCAAUAAGCAAAUUCUUCAAAUUAUGAAGAUUCUGAAAUUCUAUUGGAACGGUCCCCUCAAUGAAAUUGAAAGACAGCAGUAGCGUCUCCAAGUUUGACAUGUUAGAGAUGGAAGGCGGGAUGGAACCCAUAAAGCUAUUGUUCCAAGAGACAGGAAUUGGAGUUUGUAUAUAAAACCAAACCAGGAGGGAAGCUCUCCACCUAGAUUGUUGAUCCCAAAAUCAAGGUAUCUCAAUCUGCGCAAGUGAACUAACUCACCGGGCAAUUCUCCAUGGAAAUUGUUCCUGCUAAUGUUAAGGGAAACCAGAAAGGACAGGUUCCCAAGUUGAGGAGGUAAGGUACCAGUAAGGUUCAUAUUUGAGAUAUUCAAGACAGUCACUCGGUGGUGUCGAGAGCCGAAGGUGACCCCUAUCCAAUCACAAACAGAGGAGGUAAUGGACCAGUUUUUUGCCAAGAUUUCUCGAGGCUCUGAAUUGAUCCUGCGAUCUCUUAGCGCAAGAAGGGCUAAUUGAUCCGUUGUAACAUUACUGUUGCCGGCAGCCAUCAUGGCUAACGAAACUAAGCUAAAAUUUAUCAAGAAAAGGUAGUGAUCUAUUUUGCCCAUGGCCUUGCUCAUUGAUCAAGUUGAGAUUUUUUUGACCGUAACUCACAUGAAUUGGUGUCAGCAGCAAAAUCAUAUAUAUAUAUAUAUAUAUAUAUAUAUAUAUAUAUAUAUAUAUAUAUAUAUAUAUAUAUAUAUAUAUAUAUAAGACGAGCGUGGAAGUCUUCAUGACACAAAAACACACACAUGGAGAUGGAGAUCAGCAAUUAAUGUGGUGGUCUCUGGCUAUGAUAACAUCAAUAGCAGAAAAAUACCCACCAGUUAAUAUUAAUGUUGAUUUUCCUACUUAUUACAUAUCAAAUUAUGGCAGACCGGUCUAGAGGGGUUCGGGAGAGAAGACAUUAAGUUUUUGGUGGAAAGUAGUUGUAGCAUUUGUGUUCAUGAGCUUUCUUUUCCUGCUGGAUUCCCUUUUGUUUUCUCUUUUGGACUCAAUAAUCAAGAAUCAUUCGGCCCCUCACAGAUCAACAGGGCAAGAGGUAUGGUUUAGGGUACUGCCAUCAGUUUGGCUUUGCAUCCAUGCUUUCCCAAUUAGCUCUAAAGCCUAAAUUUAGUUAAUUAAUAUGCUCUGCUUUUCUUUGACAUGCAUGUAAGAUUCAAAAAAAAUAUGAUUUAUUUAAUUUUGACAGGAACUUAGUAGCACAAAUUGAAAUGAAAAGAAUGAAUGCAAAAGUAGAUCAAAUGUGCAUUUAGACUACCUUAAUAUGAUAUGAUGCCUCAUUGCCAAGUGCCAAUUGAAUUUGUAGAUGAUAUUUCUGGAAUUCAGUUUAUUUUUUAACAAUUCAAAAGCUCAGUCCAAUUUCAUAAUUUUCAAGACCACAAGUCCUAUUAAUUUUCUUUUGGAAGGUACUUAUGAGCAAUUGGUGUAUACUAGUAAAACACGUAGCUCUCCUUUAUAUGUUAGGAAUUGAUGGUUUCCAGCUAGCUCAUACGGUCAUUGACUUUAGUUUCACUUCUGAAAGGGAAUAAUUUGUUAUACUUCAUCCAGAGAUUAGAAGCAAUUCUGGUUGAUCAGCUUACAUCUGUUAUGAAUACAAAAUUGAUGCUACUAUAUUUCCACCAUUGAGCUGAGUCUCACAUGAAAUUUAACAGAACAUAAGUAGCGCUAGACCGAUCCAUGAGGAUUUGAUGAUAGCAAAGUUCCAGAGAGGAUUAUACAUGAAUUAAUUUAUAUGUUAAAAAACUGUUUCUGUAUGUCAAACCUAAAUUAGAAGAGUAUCUAAAGUUAAGUUACAACAAUAUUUUUGUCCGUUUUAUAGAACAGGAGUUGUUUCUGUAAACGUGAGUCACUUUCCUGACAAUUUUGCAGACGUUCAUUCUUUUGCAGAAAAAUAAGCUGAUGUAUGUGUCUGCAAAUUGAAAAUUAAGCAACAUGGGGAAACUAUAUGUAACCUCUGCAUGAUGAUAAUAUUGAAGGCUGUUCAGUCAUACUUAGUUUAUUUACUGUGCUUAUUCUAAUAAACAUAGUAGGUGGAUGAGCUUUGUUUAUUUAGGAAUUAUUUGUUCCAAAGUAUCAGUUGUGAAGCAAUUCAUCACUAUCAGGAGUUGUUAUGAGCAGUAUUACAGAUGAAGUAGGUCAUAUAUCACUGCAGGAGAAAAUCACUGGCAUGUUGGAGGAAAAGAGUUCAACAAACAUGUAUGAUCGCCUUCUAAAACUGGCGGCCAGUUCUGUUAAUGAGGUUAGAACUAUUAUCAUUGCUUUCAUAUAGUAGAAUAUUUUCUUAAUCUCAAUUAUGGUGCAUGGCAGGAGUGUCUACUAUCUUAGCCGUAGAUUUUGUAAGUGCUCUGAGCUUCUGCAGUAAAUGGCAGCUACUCAAUUACUAGAACUAGGAAAGAUAAGGCCAAAUCAUCUGGUUGCAUCAUCAGAAUGUGUUUGAUUGCAUAAGCAUUGGUCUUGCAAGUGACUUGCCUAUCAGAUAAUUGAUAAUAUUAGGAGUUCACAGAAUAAUAUACUGAAAUAGUUUGCUCUUUUGUUGUCUGUUCCAUGGCUAGUUUGGGAUAUCAGCUGAUCUUGUACUUUUCAUUGGGUAGUUGUGGAAAACACGAGCAUGCUGAGAAAAGAUUUUAUUUAUUGUUGUUUCUGCACUCCCUUUUACCAAUUUAAUGUUUCAGAAAGAGUUGAAGAGAGGUGAAUCAAAAUUUUGGGAAGAAUCAAACCCUCAGGCAUCAAUGUGGAAGCCUUGUGCCGACAAGAAGAGUACCCAAGGUAUAAUUUAGAUUCAUUGAAUGAUGUCUAUGCACAAAUCAAAUUGUAAUUUGCUUCUUACAACAGUUAUGUCUCUGACAGUAGGUGGUUUGCUGUCUGAACUGUGGUGUAAUUGUUUAAAGUUGUCGGGGCAGGGAAAUCCAGGAACAGUUACAUUGUGGCCAAUGGAGGCCUAAAUCAGCAGCGAGUUGCUGUAAGCAUGUAGAAUUUAGUCCUCCUCCUUUUUGGUAUUUUUGGUUGUUGUAGGGUCAAGUUUCAUCUUACUUCCUGCAUCUUCUUCAUGUUUUUUUCUUUACUCUCUGAUUCUAUCUCUCUUAUUAAUUGCCACUGAAUGCUUCGUUCCAAUUUUUCAGGUCUGCAAUGCUGUUGCAGUUCCAUCCCUGCUAAAUGCAACUUUAGUCAUUCCCAAAUUUCUUUAUAGCAAUGUAUGGAAUGAUCCCAGGUCAGAAGUACAUUUAACUGUGUGUUGAGUCUAGAUUGGUUAAAUAUAUUGCUCCUAGGUCUUCCUCCUUCCAAUUUGGCCUCUUACUAUGUUGAUGCAUGCUUAUUGAGAGGAGAAUGAUGACUUAUCCGGCAUUAGAAGUCUCAAAACGAAAUUUGUUUUCUGAUUUGUUUCUCAAUUAUGUUUUUCCCUUCAUAACUGGUUCCUUUCUAUCCCUUUCCAUAAAAAGAUGUUGGAGAUUUCUUUCCGGGAGAAAAUUUUUUCAUGCAUUUACCUUUCAACAAAAGAAACAUGUUCUUGAGUUACUUUGAGGUAUUAUUGUUGAUGCAGUAUUAGAAACUAGUCAAUUUUUUUGACAGCCAAAAGAAAAGAUUAGAAAUAUAAAUUUCUUUUCAUCUGAUUCCUUCACUUGGAUUUACAAUUUCAGCUUUUCAAGGUACUUCUUGGCUAAUGGCAUUAUUUGAUGGUUCAAGGUGAUUUAUGAUAUCAGCCUUUUUAAGUUCUCCUUGGCUAAUGGCCUUAUUUGAUUAUCGUGGUUAUGUAAUUUGUAUUACAGUUAAUGAUACGAAUCUACAAAAUUGUAUCCAGUUUCUAAGUUUUUUCAGUUCUUAUUGUCACUUGAUCAUCAAUCAACAGAUGAAGGGAAGUUUCUUCAACUUCCUUUUUUUAUUUUUGCUUUAUUGGUUUAAUAUUAGUUCUUUCUCAAUCCAUCUAAUUGGGACCACGGGCAGGAACGGUUGCACCUCGGUUUUGUGCAUUUUGCACAUCGCGUAAUUUUAUUUGCACACGGCGUAAUUUUGUUUGCACAACGUGUAACUUUAAAAUAAAUUUUUGUGGGCCCCACACACGGUGUUAAAAACGAGGUACAAGAAGUGAUCUGAAUCAUACAAUUUUUUUGGGCCAAAUCUUGACUGUGAACAGCUCAGGAGCGGUCCUUCCCCUCAUCCAUCUAGUUGUUACAUUUGUGUGGUAAACACAAAUUAGUAUUGUUUUUCUUCCUUUAUGUGGUCAUACUUAUGCUUUCAAAUCUAUUCUUGCUUUUGUAAAACUUUCCAGUUAAAUACUUUUCAUUUUUCAUUUUUCCGCUAAAUAUUAUAAACUUGGUGGUUCAUAUGUUUCUUCUAAGAUUUGUUAGUAAAAUUUUCUCCAUAAUUAUCUUUUUGAUUUCAUAUGGUGAUCAUUAAGCUGUUACUCUCAAUUGGAACAAAAAUUGAAAUUGUCCCGAAGCUUGUAGUUCACUUUUAUACAUCUUAUGUUUGCUACUUAUUUCGUAUAUAUAAAAUCAAUACCAUACACUUGUUAUACAUCUUAAGUUUGAUUUCCUAUCAACCCGGUUUCAAACCUCUCGUGGAACAUUCAUUGUCAUAUAAGAUUUGUCUAAUGCAUCUUACCCCUUUGUGUGGUUGAUAGGUUAUUAUAUGGGAUGAAAUUUAUUUGAUGCGUACUCUGAAAUAGUGAUUGCGGUUGCCAAAAAAAAAAAAAAUCUACGCUGGACCUCACACAUCAAAGUUCUAAAAAAUUGGCCUGGGUCAUGGUCAAGAGCUUUCCCAAGUUGCGCCUUCUUCCCAGUUCCCAGAGUCGUGUCAAAAAAAAAAAAAAAAUGAGAGUCGUGUCAAGUUUUUUUUCUUUUACUUUUUGAUACGAGUCAUGUCGCGAUUGAAGGUUCUUCAAUGAAUUAAUUAUUGAAUCUAAUAUGACUAGAUCUAAGUUUGGUCGCCAGUCAGGCCUCGUAAGGAUUGACUCGGACACUCUGUAUUGACAAAAAAACAAAAAGUUUGGUCUCCAGUCACCGGCAAUGUCCAAUAAUAAAAAAUGAAACACAUGUAAGAUGCAAGAUGACUUUCUUUCCCUGAAGGCUUUGUUUUGAUUGAGAAAUUUGAGAAAUAAUUUAAAAUUCAUUCAAAUCGUUCUAAUUAUUUAAAUUACUUAAUAGACAUUUAAAUUUAUAAUAUAUCAACUAUUAAAAUUUAUUUUAAAUAUUAGAAUAAUUUAUAAUUUAUAAAUUUAAAUAUCUCCUAAAUAAUAUUAAACAACUAGAGAAAUUUAAAAGGAUCGCAAAUUUUUUGUCAAAUCCCUCGAUCCAAACGUAGCCCCAGUAAAAAAAAAAGUAGUUCGAUAGUUUCGACACUCUUCAACAGACAUACACAUAACACUACAAGAAAAUUGCGUUUCUGUGACAGGCGAAAGUCGUCACUAAAAAUUCAGAAGUCGUCACAAAAAAAGUCAGUGACGACUUUUACUGCUGUCACAGAGCUGUCACUAGUUCUAUGUCACAAAAGGGGGUCCAUGUGACGACUGUUGAAAGUCGUCACAAACGAUUUCGCUUUUGUGAUGACUCUUGUCGUCACUCAUUGUUGUACAUUGUGUGACGAUUUUUAUUGUCACUAAACUGGCUAAAUUCUUGUCAUAGUCAACCCUUGGAGUUGUCACAUUAUGCUUCCGUUCAGUGACGACUUUUGUUGUCAUUGUUUUCCAUCCAUAAAAAGUGACGACUUUCUAGUGUCACUAGUAAAACUUGUUGGCAGUGACAACUUUUUUAUUGUCAUUUAUUUUUUUGUAAAAAGCAAUAAACUAAUGUUAAUUACGCAACAUAGCUGCCAACAAUCACAAAACGUUCAUUGAGUAGCAAGGAGAAAAAAAAAGCCAACAUACGAAAAGAAAACCAACAUUCAUUUCCAAUAGAAGAUCAACCCAAAUACAUAUAUAUAUAAAUGUUGCCUCAAAUGAGUCAUAAACCAUGCACCAUCCAAAAUAAGCCAUUCAGUUACAAUACUAGUGAUUUCCCAUCCACAAUAGAGAGUAGUAAAGUUCUAUACAAAAAUAUGAGCACGAUUCCCAUCUAGAACAAAACAUGAGCAUGAUAGGCCUUGUAGUCUUCAAUUCAAAAACCAUCUUCACAGCAAUGACUGGCUUCUUCUUCUUGGGAAUCGUGUUAGAACCUACACGUUACCAAAAUUGAAGCAAUGAGCACUGGUGUUAAAACUGGAACUACACUUCUAGAUAGGCACCAUAUUAUAAAAACUAAUGUCCAUAAAUUUGAAAUUAUAGCAAUCUAAGUAAAUUGCUUAACACAAAAAUAAAGUGAAAUUAUAUAUAUUGAAUAGUAAGCAAGAACAUUAGCUCCAAAAGAAAGGAUCAACUAAGCAAAUGCAUAUAUUCAUUUAGCCCAAUCCGCCAUAUUUUUUGUUUCAAGAAAGCUCCAAUGUGGUGGAGUACAACUGAACCACGUUCAAGAGUUCUAAGAGAACUUUCUAGUUUACAUUGGAUAUUAUGUGCACAUCAAAACUCCUUAAUCUCUAUUAACAAGAACAUGUUCACUAUCCAGGUUAGACACUCCAACAGGACUAGUAGCCUGCUUGCUUUACAGGUUUACAAUCAUAGCUGGUCUAUCCGCUUGAAAAUCAUUGAGAGCCUAGAUGAUCGUGAACCACACAGUAUAUCAAAAAAAAAAAACACACACACACACACACAAUCACAGGUGCCUCUUUUUCCUUAGCACAAAAAAAAAAUUUCUGAUACAGAAAAAUUUCGAUCCAUGUUGUUUUUAAUACUUUGCUGUGUCUUUAAACAAUAAUUAAUAAACUCAUGAAACCAAUCAAGUUAAGUACUAGAACUACACAGUUCAUGUGUACUACAACCAAAAGAAAAUUAAUCGAGUCCAAAUGGGUUAAACAUAUUAAACAGCACUGUGAUUAAUUCUCUCACAUGAAUUAGCAACAAAAAUCUCAUCUUAAUGGUAAAAAAUGCGAAAGGAUCAUCCAAUGAUCCAUAAAUCUGAUUCUGCAAUUGAUUAUCAACCAGAACCUCCACUCGGGUUAUAUAUAAAUGUCAAAGAUUAGACUUUUUACAACGAACCAUUCAUUGUAUGGUAAUCAGGACUGCUAUAUAUUGAGAACAAAAAGGUAACAAUAUAUAUUACACAUCUGAUAGAUUUGCUCAAAACCGAGGAAAUUUUAGCUGAAAAAUUUUCACUGUCUCAAUGCAUAAAGUUGGGAUUGCCAAAUGUUAGAAGAAAAGUAAUAAAUACUAAGGAUCUUAACAUCAAAUUCGUGUUUCUAAUAUGGAUAUAAGAUAGAAGGGUGUGAACUUAGCCCGUCCAAAAAAUUUUAAGAAGAAUCAUAUAAAUAUAUUAGCUGUAAUCAAAAGAGACAGUUUUCUUGAUUAAUGACUCUAUUCGGCUGUUACCACUUGUUUGACUAACGUCUGGAGUUAAUGAUCAACCACACAAAGUAAAACCAGUCUCUAUAAGAUUGUAACAUCAAUAUGUGGAAUCCAAAGGGAAACAAAUACUGGUAGAGUAGAAUACCAAACAAUAUUGUACUUAGAAUCCCUUGAUCAAAUAGCAGUUUGGGAGUUGAGAUCACAAAUCCGAAUACAUCCCAACGUUCAAACACAUUUGCUUUAAAAACACUAAAGUUUUGGUUGCAACAUCCAGCACCUCAAUGGCUGUAAUUAAACAUGAACAAGAUUUCAAGCACCUAAAUCAGCCUCAAGCAACUCAAUUGCAUUAAACAGGAAUCAGAUUUGGUGGAACCAGAUUUCAAGUGCCAUCAAGCAACUAAAUUGACAUCAAGCAACCCAAUUGUAUUAAAAAUGAAUCUCUAUUUUGUAGAACCAGAAUUCAAGUGCCUCAAUUGUAAUAACUAUGAAGAGCAAACAAUUUAUUUAUACCUGACACAGAAGUUGCUUAUUUGCGCAAGUCUUUCAGCUGGUUAGCUAACUCAUCAUACAGUCAUGGAUUUGAGAAAAGAGCAUUAAAAGUAUGUAGAGAAAAGGAAGGCCAAGGAAGACCAUGUAGAAAGCUGAAAGAAAAACCCCAAGAGAGCAAGGUCAGCUUCAUUCAGAACAAAUUUAGCUUGAUGAUCUAACAGCCUAACAGAAUGUAUCUGCGACAACAAAGACACUCAGAAGCCACAUGCGUGCACUUGCUCAUAAACACAAGGCAUGAAAUUUAUCUUGCUAUAUUAACUAACCAAUUGCUUUACCUUUCCUCUCUUUUUUUUUCCUUUUUCCGACAGUGAAACCCACAAUACCCCCCUCUCAUAACAUCAAUUCGGACUCAAACAUAGGGCAGCAUAAAAACAGAAAAAGUGCAAAAACCAGCACGUCAGAGCCUCUCAAGACUCUGUUUUCUACCAUGAAAAAUUAGCUAUCAUGUUCGGACAAACACUGAACUAGCCGAAUGUUCCUUUUUCUCACACGCAAAACGCAAGCAAAAUCAUCUUCAAGUAGAACUCUCAACUGGGCAUUUUAUCGAACAGGUCAGGGGUAUAAAGAAUUUCGCCAAUCCUUUGCUCAAUUUGAAGUUAAUCAGCCCCAAAAUUUACAGCAUCCCAAUCAAAUUUCUCACACACAACAGAAAUUAUAGCCCCACAUGAAUACAUAGACGUCAGAAAAGGAUAAAAGUUUUACUAAAAAGAAGAAAGGAAGAGAAAAUCAGGUCAAUACCUCUCAUUUUCACCCAUCCGCUAACAAAAUUAAAGAGAGGAAUGGAGAAAGGGAACCUUACCAAGCUUUUGCGGUGAGGACUUGCAGGUGGUGGUGGUGGAUUCUGGUGGCAGCAGCGGCAACAGCAACUCCUUGCUGAUUCCUUCGAUUCUUGGUUUUCCUUUGCUCUGUUUUCUUGUCGAAGCUCUUCCCUUUUUCCACCCCUCUUUUUUCAAUUUUUCUUCCGUCUACUCUCUGGCUCUCUCUCUCUCUUUUUGCUCUGUUUUCUUUUUCCUUUCUCCAAACCUCCUCCCUUUUUCCGUUCAGCCGAAGACCUCCUCUCCUUUUUCUCUUUCAUCCAACCAAAUUAAUGCAGUCAAAAAAUGUUCGCAUUUCAUAGCUCCUCAAAGAAAGCCGGUUCUGACCAUCCCUAACACUGUUAAUACUCCAGAUCGCAAGUGUUUCGGAUGCGAUUUGGCCAAGAGUAUUACCUUCCCCACUGCUAAUUAACAAUCUAAUUCAUAAAUUAGUCUUUACAAUAGAAGGCUGAGCAGCUUUUGAAAGCAAAAAAAAAAAAAAAAAACACAUACCGCACAAUUAGCUGAAGAGGGGGUCGGAGAAAAGUCUAAACUAAAGUCGCGGAACGAGGAGGGAGCUUGGAAGUGUUCUGACUUCGCUUCUUCGGCGAGCUUGACCUGAAGAUUGGCACUCGUCAAUGGUGCUUUAGAGGAGCAUUUUGUGGAAGCAGAAGGUGUCUGAGGUCCAGAGUUUUUCGGUGUUCACCAUAGGAAGGAAAGACUGAGAAUGAAAUUUGUCUAAGUGUUGGAAGAGAGAAGCGGCGAGAAUUUUGUUUGUCUGUGAACAACCAAAAACGACGUCGUUUUGUAGAGAUUUCAGCCACAACCUUCGCGCCUCUUUCAGAUUUCAGACUGGCGCUCUUUUUUUUUGGCAUCUAAACACGUCUUUGAGAUUCCAGGAUUCACGCCUUUAGCUUCAUACAUCUUUUUUCUUUUUUUUUUCCCUGGUAAAAUUUUUUUUUUCAGGUUUCUUUUUUCAUACUUAAUCUCUUUUUUUUUUCUUAAUCUCAUCUAUAAAUAUCAAAUAAAUUAUUUGAUAUUGGUUUCUUUUUUGUGCAUGUAUAUAUAUGUGUGCUUGUUUGUGUCUAUAUACAUCUUUUUGGGUUUGGACAACUCAAUAUACAAAUUAUUUAUGAAAUUACCUUACAAUAAAACUUACACAAUAAAAUAUGUUUCAAAAAUUUAACAUGCAUAGAAUUGCUUAUAUACAGUAUAGCACUUCUUACUCAUGCUUAUCAUACUCUUUGUCUAUUACUUAGCUUUUAUAAUAAAUUAAAAGAAACAUGUAAUCAAAUAUUCUGUUAAAUGUGUUACAACUCUAAAUCUUAUUGCACGACAGAUAUUUUACUGAAUAAUUUUAAUUUCGUAUAUACCCAUUCCAUAUGAAAAUAAUUAUUACUUAUGAUGUAUUACACGUUAUACUAAUCUUUCACAAUGCUAACAUUAGACUACAAAUUAUAUUCAAUUACACUUUUUCAAAUUAUUUCAGUUAUUGAUUUUUGGGGGUUGUUAUAAGUAAUAAUAAACAAUUCAUGAAAAAAAUUUUAUGCUCAGACAUGUCUAUUAUGUCCACUUAGCAAAAAUUACAAAUAUCUAAAACUAGUUUGUUAUUAUAUCAUUUGCAUUUUGCUAAUACGUAAUGAAUAGGGGCUAAAUUAUAAAAUUAGGGUGUCAUAUCUUCUGUGCUUUUGCUCAUAUAAAAGAAUUGGGGACUAAAUAAUAAAAUUAGGGUGCCAUAGUAGAAUUAGUGAAAUUUGAUGAAAAUACUAUAGAAUUGCUUAUAUACAGUAUAGCACUUCUUACUCAUGCUAUCCUACUCUUUGUCUCUUACUUAGUUUUUAUAAUAAAUUAAAAGAAACAUGUAAUCAAAUAUUCUGUUAAAUGUGUUACAACUCUCAAUCUUAUUGCACGACAGAUAUUUUACUGAAUAAUUUUAAUUUCGUAUAUACCCAUUCCAUAUGAAAAUAAUUAUUACUUAUGAUGUAUUACACGUUAUACUAAUCUUUCACAGUGCUAACAUUAGACUACAAAUUAUAUUCAAUUACACUUUUUCAAAUUAUUUCAGUUAUUGAUUUUUGGGGGUUGUUAUAAGUAAUAAUAAACAGUUCAUGAAAAAAAUUUAUGCUCAGACAUGUCUAUUAUGUCAAUACAAAUAUCUAAAAAUAGUUUGUUAUUAUAUCAUUUGCAUUUUGCUAAUACGUAAUGAAUAGGGGCUAAAUUAUAAAAUUAGGGUGUCAUAUCUUCUGUGCUUUUACUCAUAUAAAAGAAUUGGGGGCUAAAUAAUAAAAUUAGGGUGCCAUAGUAGAAUUAGUGAAAUUUGAUGAAAAUACUAUAGAAUUGCUUAUAUACAGUAUAGCACUUCUUACUCAUGCUAUCCUACUCUUUGUCUCUUACUUAGUUUUUAUAAUAAAUUAAAAGAAACAUGUAAUCAAAUAUUCUGUUAAAUGUGUUACAACUCUCAAUCUUAUUGCACGACAGAUAUUUUACUGAAUAAUUUUAAUUUCGUAUAUACCCAUUCCAUAUGAAAAUAAUUAUUACUUAUGAUGUAUUACACGUUAUACUAAUCUUUCACAGUGCUAACAUUACACUACAAAUUAUAUUCAAUUACACUUUUCCAAAUUAUUUCAGUUAUUGAUUUUUGGGGGUUGUUAUAAGUAAUAAUAAACAAUUCAUGAAAAAAUUUUUAUGCUCAGACAUGUCUAUUAUGUCAACUUAGCAAAAAUUACAAAUAUCUAAAAAAAGUUUGUUAUUAUAUCAUUUGCAUUUUGUUAAUACAUAAUGAAUAGGGGCUAAAUUAUAAAAUUAGGGUGUCAUAUCUUCGGUGAUUUUGCUAAUAUAAAAGAAUUGGGGGUUAAAAAAUAAAAUUAGGGUGUCAUAGUAGAAUUAGUGAAAGUUGAUGAAAAUACUGUAGUAUACAGUGAUGCAAAACGUUGUCACAAAAUUGGAAUCAGGUAGACUUUCAAUGACAACAAGUUAUGUUGUCACUGUAGAGAGAGCGUUUGUGACGACUUUACUUGAGUUGUCAUAAAAUCAUUUCCCGCGGCAUCAAAUGAGAUGCGCGCCAACUAUUUCGUGACGAGUUGAGAAUGACAACUUCCAAUGUUGUCACUGAUUAUGCUUGUGUUGUACUCAUCUGUGAUGACACCUAAUGUCGUCACUGAAUUAGGUUAUCUGUGACAAGAUUUUUGUUGUCACAUAAAUUUUUGUCACUGAAAAAUAUAUUUCUUGUAGUGUAAAGAAUGACUCAGAGACUACGAAGAACCAAGAGAGCGAAACCACUUGUAACGCUUGCUCACCUGCCCUAGUAUUUUUGAAUUGAGUUGAGUCCCCCUCUUUUUUUUUUUUUUUUUUUUACUUUCAUUUACUUUCGGUAACAAUAGGUUGAACCCUUCUGUUAGUACCAGUGCUAGAUAUUCAAGCAAUCAAUGUGCGGAUCACUUUGUCAAUAAGAAAUAUUCUGAAAUUAUUAAACUUUGCAAAAGAUUAACAGAAGAAAAAAACUGAGAAUACUUCUGAGACAUAUUUCAUGUAAAGGAUAGUGCAUAAAUUAUAAAAAAUACUUGUUAUAAAUUCAGGUAAAAUGAUAUCCUACUAUGAUAUACUUCUACAACACAAGUCAAGUAAUUAGUUCUAAUGAUAUGAAGUAAAAAAUUCUUUCAUUGAUUUGGUCAAGGAUUUACUGACAUUAAUUAUAGCGAGAAGAUGUUAGGAUACAAAAUAAAUAAAUAAAUAAAUACUGAUACAAAGAAAACCAUUAACUGAAGAAUUUAAAACAUGAAAGUGCUAUAAUAUUUUUAAAUAUAUAUAUUUUUUAAAAAUUUAUUUGCCUGUAUUAUCAAUACAUUUUUCAAUUACCUUUUUAUCUCACAUACAUCAUAUAAAAAAAGUACUACAAUGUUUUUUUUUCAAAAUAUUAUUCCAAAUAAUCUACUCCAAACACGCACACAUAUAAACACCAAACUUGAUCAACUUUAAUCAAGUGAUAAUCAAAACUGGUUUAUUUAUGUGAUAAGUAAACCGCGACAUUCUUAUUGAUCACAAUGACUUUGAAAAUAUUUGACAUUAGCAAAGCUCUUUAAAAAAACAAUCGAGAAAUAAUCAAUCAAAGUGUUUGGUAAUCAUGAAGAUGUGAAAUAGGUCACCACUAAUGAAAUGAAGUAGGGUUAUCUAGCCGAAAAUCAUGUUGACCAAAAAAAAAGGCUAUUUAGAAUUUUAAUUAUUUAGAAGUUGAUUUUUUAUUUGGUAAUUAGAUUAGAAUUGUUGUUAAAGUUGGUUUAGAAAAUAUAAAGCCUGUUUGAAAGGUGAGUUUUUUGGGAGUUUGUCUAAAACUUUACUGUAGCUUACUGUGAAAGUUUUUUAAAAAAAUUUUGAAAUAUGUAGAUUUUUGAAUAUUUUAAAGUGUAUAAUUUAAAAACUUUGAGAAAGUUUUUGAGGUUACUAUAGAUAAAGUUUUUAAAAAACUUGUAGCAGAUAAACUUGGCAAAAAACUUGGAUUCCAAACAAUGAAUAUAGUUGAAUUGUGUUAAGACAUUAAUAUUGGAAUAAGUUACAUGGCUUUAUUUAUCUAUUUAAGGACUUGAAAUCCUAAGUUUGUAUUUGAGGAAAAAAAUCAAUUUGUUGAAUAAAUUAUUGAUCCUUCCUUGCCUUCCUUAUCCUUGAUAUUUUGAUAUGUUCUGCCGUUUGAAGCUUUUGCUUCAUCUAUUAUGACUAAUCAAAGUCUACCAAAGUCCACGGAACCCUGCAGUACACGAAGCCGUACGACUUGUUCAUCUUUGGAUGCCUUUUUUUUUUUUUUUUUUUUUCAUCUUUGGAUGCCUUCUUUCUUGAUAUGAGAAUUAUAAUACCUCUACUGCGUUUUUUUUAAAUGCUAACAAAUGGUACCAGAACCUUGGUCAAGAGUUUGAUUCUAAAAUGUUUAUGAAACUUGAAGGGUGUGAAGAAUUUAUGAUAGAAGAUCAUGUUGGAACAGCAAUAAAGAAAAUACUAUGAAAUGGCUGCAAAAUUAACUGGAAAAAGGUUUCAAAUCAUGAUUGCAAAUCACUUUUUUUAAAACUUUAUUUGUCCACUAUAUUGUGCAAAAGAUCAAGGACGAAUAUUCUUUAGGAUAAUAUAAAGUUUGGUUGCAAAACUCUGCACUAAAUUGUUACAACUCCCAAAGAACAAAGAAGAGAAGAGCAAAAAUUUUUGUAGUGUUUGUAUAUCUUUUUGUCUGCAGCCAAAAGACCAUAAAUUGAUUCACAUAAAUAAGAUUUCAUGUUCCUUAAACAAUUAGUAACCAUUAGAAACAUGUUUAGAGUUGUAUCUUUUCAAAUGACGAUUGAAACAUGAAAGGUUGGGAAUGAAACGUAAAAAGCUACUUCUAGAAUUAUGUCCGGAUUUUCAAUAUUUAAAAAAAUUCAAACAAUCCCCCACAGAAGGUGAAGAAUCAGCCAUUCAUUCAGCUAUGUGCAACUUUGGGCCUGUUUGGCAAAGAAGUUUUUGACCAAGUUUGUCUGCCACAAUUUCUUAACAAUUUUAAUUACAGUAAUUUCAAAAAAAAAUUAAAAGUUUUUAAACUAUAUAUUUCAAAAUAUCCAAAAAUUUAUACAUUUCAAAAAUUUUUCCUAUAACUUUUACAGUAAAUUACAGUAAAAUUUUAAACAAACACUCAAAAAACUCAUUUGCCAAACGGGUUCUUUCUUUGGGUGGUGUCUAGCUUGGUGUAGUACUGUUUCUGUUAAUGUUUUGUGUAAAGGCUUGAAUUACUUUUGCCUGGAAAUCACAUAAUCUACUGGAUUGCAAUGGAUCUUUUUUCUUGUAUGUGGUCACCCUAAUCUGAAAAAUAGAAUCCAAGUUUGGCAUAAUAUUUACUAUUGGCUGUCUAAUUAUUCAAAACCAAUUGCUAUUGUGGGCAAAUUUAACCAGGCAGUUAAUUCAGAGGUAAACUUACUUUUAAUGGACCUUCUUGGAUGCUGAAAGGAGCAAACUACUCACCAAUUAACUUGAUAAAUGUGCAUGAAUUACAGCAUCUAGGUUCUUCUAAUGCCGUGUAUGAGAGACUUGACGGCGUUUGUUAAUCAGGCUUGGAUUCAAGUUUUCCCGAAACCUAUAGUAAAAAAUCUUCCCAUCAUGAGAUCGGAUCAUGGCCUUGUAAUUUUGGACACAUAAUUUGGUCCUACUAAGAAGUUUUCGAGACCAAAAUUUGAAGCAUUUUGGUGGCGGGAUAAUUAAACGGGGAGUCAUCCCCAUUUUCCACUUCCUCAAUUUGACCUACCAUGGAUGCAAAGAAAGUACCAUACUCAUUUAAAUACUCCGCAUAUAAACCAUGAGGUUGAACCCACAAAAGUAUUUGUGUAACUGAGAUACAAGAAAAAAGCCCGGUUUGGUACCCAGCGGUGAAGAGCCAAUAACGUAACAUGCACCGAGCAAAGAACACUGUUUAACCACUGAACCAAAGCUCACUAGCCACCAAAAGGGAUUAAAUCCCUCUUUGAGUGAUAAGUCGAGGGUUCGAAUCACAUUUACAGUGAAAAAAAUUCAAACAGAGUGUCAGGACACCUAUUUGGUCUAAUUAAAUUCUUAUAACUACUAACUUUUUAUACACAGUCUCUUUAAACUCCACUCCCUAUAUAUUAUGAUAGAUUAAAUUAUAAAAAUAUUAUGAUUACUUAAAAAAAAAAAAAAGUAAAGACCACUGUUUAAAAUAAAGAGCAUCUCUUGGAGCGAGGAAAAGCCAAGAGAUAAAAUUUCCCAUCAAAGUAAGAACUUGAACAUGUGGUUUCCCGUUCAAUUGCAUGUACUCUGUCGCAUCUCUUGUAGCGAGGAAAAGCGAAAGAGGUAAAGUUCCCAUCAAAGUAAGAAUUUGAACAUGUGGUUUCCGGUUCAAUUGCACGUACUCUAUCAUAAUUUCCAAGUUUAAAUGAAAAUAAUUUACUCCUCCGUCCCAGUUAUUUGAUUCUAUUUUAAGAAUCCAAUUUUUAAGAAUAGUAUUUUGAUUGUGGCGUAUGUACUUCUUUUUCUAAUUUUAUCUUUACAGAUUCAAAAUUUAAAUUUUAAUGAUAACAUGCAUAUGAUUAAACAGAGUUAUAUUGAAAAGAGAGAUUAAAAGAUGUUUUAAUUUUUUUAAUAGAACAGAUAUUUUGAAACACCUCAAAAUAAAAAUGGGAUAAUUUCACAAACCUCCCCUGAGGUUUCUGACACUUGCACUGAGACCCCUCUAGGUUUUAAAAAUUUUACCUAGAUCCCUUGCUUUUCAAAUUUGGUAACAAUUCAGUCCAAUUAGGAUUAAAAUAUUACUAUCAUGAUAGAGAUGACAUUUAUAUUUCAUGAAUAUCCUCUUCCUCCCCAUAUUAGUACAAGAUUGCUUGUUAAUAAAAAGGUAGAGAUGAUUAUGGGUAUUUUAUUUUGAAUCAUUUAAUUUAUGUUAAAUACAUAAUUAUUUGCAAAUAAAAUUCAAAAGCCGUUACACAAAUAUUUUUACGAAAGGAAAACUAGCAUGUUUUGUAUUUAAUAUAAAUGAAGUAUUUGAAAGUAAAAAAAAAAAUGUCCAUAACAUACCAGUUCUUUACGAGUUUCUUCCAUUAUAUGAAUAAAGCACUAGUUAUGUAUGAGUAUUUUACUUUGAAUCAUUUAAUUUAUAUUAAAUACAUAAAUGUUUAUAAGUGAAAUUCAAAAAGUGUUACACUAAUAUUAUUACGAAAGGAAAACUAGUAGGUUUUUAUUAACAAGGUUUUUAUUAACAAACAAUCUUGUACUAAUAUAGGGAGGAAGAGGGUAUUCAUGGAAUAUAAAUGUCAUCUCUAUCAUGAUAGUAAUAUUUUAAUCCUAAUUGGACUGAAUUGUUACCAAAUUUGAAAAGCAAGGGAGCUAGGUGAAAUUUUUAAAACCUGGAGGGGUCUCAGUGCAAGUGUCAGAAACCUCAGGGAAGGUUUGUGAAAUUAUCCCAAUAAAAAAAAAAGAUGCUUUCAAUGCAACAUAGGAGUACUAAAUAUCCAAGAAAAUAAAGCUCAAACCUGGCCACAUAACGAGACAGCUGAGGGAAUUGAAGAUCAACAUUCGAGGCAUGUGCACUUGAUUUGCUGAAGAAGGAACAUCAGGAGGAAUCUUUCAUCUUUCGUCAGAAAAAUCUGAGCCAUGUCCAGACUCCCUAACCACCAGCCUUUGGCCCCGUGGCCACCGGUUAAGCCUUUCAAUUGUUAUAUUAAGUGGUUUCUUAAAAAAUUUAGAGAGAUAUGUAAUGCAUCCAUCUAGUCUGGUAUUGGUUCAAUCUCCAUCGACCUUUUCAGAUCCAGUUGGGUCUCUCCCUUAGAUUGAAAUAGUGUAAUAUACUAUAGAUAAGGUGAUGAAUGACAAAAUAUAUAAGACUCCCUACUUUCAGACCAACCACCUUGUCCAUCCAUUGCGAAAUGCACCUGCCAUAACAACAUAAGAAGAAAGAGACAGGUGAACCACACGGUGAAACCAGUGCACAGAACAGGCAAUAUGGCAGUAGGAGACCCCAAAGGAACAAGAAAUAUCCAAAAAGGCAUUAUGGCUGUAGACAAUGACGCAAUAAGGGGAGCUGAUGAAGGCCAUGACGCCUUCUAAAUUUUGAAAAUUUUAAUUUAUAAUGUAUAAAAUAUAUAUAAAAAAAUAAAGUUGAUCCCUCCUAAUUUUUUAUAAUUUUAAUUUUUAUCAUGAGAAUUUAUAUAUAUUUUUUUAAUUAAAGUUAAUAUUUGAUUUUUUAGAUGUCAUAUAUUUAAAUAGAUAAAAUUUAUUUUAAUCAUAACAUAUUAAGAAAAUUUUGAUCCAAAAAAAAAAUCUUGAGUCCGUCACUCACUGUAGAAGGCCCCCAAGGAACAAGAAGUAUCCAAAAAGGCAUGGCUGUAGAAGACCCCAAAGGAACUAGAAUUGUCCAAGUUUACGAAAUACGCAAAGAGACAGACAAAGUAUGGUGGCGUGCGGGAAAAGUAAUCGGGACAGAGCAACUCCGGUCUUGGAGUGGCAACCCAUGAUGUUGAAGGAGAAGAAGAAAAGCUCCUAAUUGAGAAGACUUCUCAGUUCAAAGAGAAUUUCUUUACGUAAAGGUCAUUUUUCAUCCAUGCCAAGUUGGACUGCAAGCAUCAUCGUGCCUGUUGUUUGUUUUUGGUCCAAGGGAAGACUCCAAGCUUUACCACAAAGAAGGAAGAAAGAGACGGGUUUGAGAGUUGAAUGGAACUUUGGGAGUCGUGUGGAUUGCUAUUUUUAAAAAAUUUUGUAGAUAAAUAUAUUGUACCGGUUUAAUAUAUAUAUAAAAUAAAAAAUAAUUAAAAAAUAUGUUUAUGUAAAACGUAAUUUUUUUUUUUGGAGAAAAAUGGUUUUUCAAACAAGAAGAUCAGUUUGAUUAAUGUUUUCAACUUGUUCCUUUAGUUGUGAUGUUCAUAUUACAAGUUGAAUUUUCAAUGCGGACCAUUUAUGUAUGUACAUUUGGGGCACUCUAACACAAUCCAACCAUUGGGAUAACCGAGAAUAAAUUCUGUCUCUAUCUCUGAGACCAAAAAAAUAAAAGAUGAUAAACUCUGUUUGUGUUUUAAAAUGAACUCGGGGUUGGAACUUGGGUACUCAAUACCUGCAAAUAGUUUUGACCAAAAAAAAAACCUGCAAAUAGUUAAAGAUAAUUUCUGAAUGAACAACUUUUAAAAAAAAAAUUUAAGAUGCAUUAUUAUGUAAAAUAUAAUUGUAAUAGAAAAAACAACCAAGGAUUCUAAUUUUAUGAAGUAAGAGAAGCAUUAUGUUGCAAUCAUUGUUUGAAUUAACUAUUUCAACGCCUUUGUUAAUUAGGUCAUCUAACAUAGGAUGGAGGAAAAAAUGCAAUCCAACGGGCCAUGGGUAGGCUUUGUCUCUUUCGUUGGAAAACGUGGCGGUCGUUGCAGAUAGCGAGAUAGAUUAUUGAGACAGGCAAACCAUGGAAUCAAGCCUAGAACAAUUCCAGACAGAUUUAAGAUCCAACCUCCAACCACCGCCUGGAUUGAUUAAGUCAAUAAUGGCAGCUGUCUCAUGGUCUCUUGCUUCGCAUUAGCGGACUUCUUUUUCUUUGUUGCCAUUUUCUUUUUUUCUUUCUUUUAUGCAACAUUCACCCAAUGUUUUUAAACUCGGACCGGUCAGUGAACCGGAGAGGUGGCCGGUUCGCGGUUCGACCGGUCCAACCGGCCGGUUCAAAGGUUCACUUUUUUUUUUUUUUUUUAAGUGUUAAGUACUAAACAGGUUUCAUUCUACACUUGAACUUUACUAACAUAACUUAAUUUAAGUUAUGAUAAUAAUAAAUUUUCUAAAAAUUAUACACAAAACAUGGAAUGAUAAAUAUAAUUAAAAUAUCAUAAUUCACCACAAGUUUUCAUAAAUUCAUUAUAAACAUAAAUAGAUACAAUCCAAAUGUGCACCAAUUAUCACAAAUAAAAACACAAAAAAUAAAUUAAUUAAAUAUUGAAAUUCUUUUACAACCCUUAAAAAAAUCCAUAAAAGAGUUCAAGUUAAGACAAACUAUUUGAAUAGCAAACUUUUAUCAGUGGCAUGAUAAGCAACCACACCACCUUCACAAUUUCAUCAACUUAAGCUGAAAAAGUUAAAAUUUUAUUAUAAAAAUAUAAAUCUAAUUGCUCAAACUAAAAAAAACUAAAAAUUUUUGAAAAACAAAUAUACAGUUAAACACAUAAAAAAUUAAUUGCUACUAAACAUUACUAAUUAACAUGUUAUAUUAAAUUCAAUGAUCCUAUACCAUUAAUUAUUUUAAAUUCAAUUAUCAAUAGCUUCGAUUAUGUGCCAACUACCAUAUUUUUGACCAACCCAAUGUUAUUAUUUGUAAUUCCUACCCAAUUCCUACACGGAUGUGCACUACUUUUGUAAAAAUUUCAUCCUUAAUUAAUCGAAUAAAAAUAAAACAAAAAUGAGGGAAACAUAUGAAAAUUGAGGGGAAAAAGAAGAAAAUGCAAAAAAUCAACUAAAGAUAAUAAUAUAGAAAAAAACCUUGAAAAGAAAAAAAUUAAACUUACUAAAAUGUUGGAAAACAAGAAAAGUUGAAAUUUUCAACUUGUUUACAAUCUGCUAAAGAUAAUAACCUGAUAAUAAUGGUGAAGACUUGAGAAAAUCUUGUUGUGGAUAUUUGGGUUAAAAAUGGUUAAGAAGAAAAAAUUGAAAAAAAAAAUAAGAGAAGAACUUGAUGUUUUAAUAUAUUUUUUAGUCAAGUAGAAUUCUCAGCAAACUUAAGUACAGUCUAGCGGUAAGUAGGGGUGGCAAUUUUCGACACGACCUGAAAACACGACACGAACCUAACACGAAAUUAAUGGGUUUGGGUUGAGGUUUUGGGAAUUCGGGUCAGAAUUGGGUUGGACCCGAUGAACCCGAAAAGAAAACAGGUCGAUUUCGGGUCAACCCGUGGUGACCUGAUAUGACCCGAUAUGACCCGUUUACGAAUUAAAAUAAUUUAAUAAAUAUAAAAAUAAUUUAAUCUAACUAACCUAAGUUAUUCUUUUUUUCAAAGGCAUUAAUUACUUAAUCAUAAAUGAAUUUAUUUAAUUUGUGUGAAGUUGAAAUUAUUAUAUUUGGACAAAUAAUAUAUUAUAUUAUUUUUUACUUUUAUACUGUUUUAAUUUAUUUUAUAUUUUGUUUGGGAUAAAACACUUUUACGGUGUUUAAUUUAUUUUAGAUUUGGUUUGGAAUUACUUAUUUAAAUUUUUAUUACUUGAUUAUGUAAUUAGUUUUGUGAGAAAUUGAUUUUAUUAGAAAUUAUAGUGAUAAAUUAAUAAAUUAAAAUUAAGUUUCGGGUCAUUUCGGGUCGACCUGCCAACCCGUCAACCUGAAAUUUUCGAGUUCGGGUCAGCAUACCUGACCCGUCACGGGUUGGCGGGUCGGGUUCGGGUCAACAGAUUUUUCUGACGGGUUGACCCGAACCCGACCCGCCAACCUGAUUUGGACCCGAAUUGCCACCCCUAGUGGUAAGAUUGUCAUAUUUAAACUUGGAGUUCCAGGUUCGAAUCUUAGCUACACCAUUCUUGAUAUUUUGUUGAAGAAUUUAAAAAACCGCCGGUUCACGGUUCUUAACGGUUCGCACGGUUCGUCCGGGUUUCAACGGUUCUCCAUGAACUUCCGACUUUAGCAUUAGACCGGACCGGUGACAUGGCCGUUCGCGGUCCAACCGGUCGAACCGGCCGGUCCGGUCCGAUUCUGAAAACAUUGCAUUCACCAAUGAAAGUGCAGCACCUUUAAUCAUCCUCAUAUCGAUUAGCAAACAAAUGCAUUGCUAUUAGCUAUUGGUCAUUGUUUAGUCUUUUGAUGUAGCUGAUUAACUUGAAACCUACCCACUUCUCUUUUCUUUUGUUUGUGAAGUUUUGAAACUUUUAUGAAUGUAUUCUUUGAACAAAUAAAGGAAUAUGUAACAUUUUUUGUGAUGUGAUAUAUAUGUGAUAAAAAAAUGAUUAGAAAUUGUGCCCAUGAAACGAGCGGGAUAAUCUUUGUAAAUUUUUUUCAGAAAUCAUACUAUUUGUUUGGAUUGCAUUUUUUUAGAUUUUUUGUAAAAAAAAUUAUUGUAACGAUUUGAUAUAUGUAAAAUAAAAAGAUGAUAGAAAAAUGUGUUUACGGAAAAUGUAACAAUUUUUCUUUGAAAAAUUGCUGUCCAAGCAGGAACCUAUUUUAUUUUGGCUUUUCCAUUGUUUGGGACCUUUGGGUACCCACAUGCUUAACAGUGGGCACUGAAAUUUUACUCCGGACAGGUUUCGUGUAAAUUGGUUUACGGUAUGGAUGUUUCGCACCCUGAACUAUUAUUUGUAGUUUUUUUUUUUUGAAAGUAUUAAUUGAUAGUAUUAAAAUGCCUUGUUCUAUUAAUUUCUAGCACGUUCCUUAAAUUAAUUGAAAACCUCUCAGAGCCAAGGUAUAUUGUUAAUAGUAAAUCUUAUAUACAUUGAUAGUGUAUAUACUAUCACGGUUAGAUAUAUUAUAUAUAUAUAUAUACAAAAUUUGAAUUUCAAAUUCAAAUUGAAUUAUGUGUUAUGUAACUAAUGGUGAAUGUAUAUAUACACUGUCAGUGUAUAGAAGAUUAAUCAUAUUUUUAAAUAAAAAGACUUUUACCCUCAAGUGAAGGAGAGAGUAGCAGUGAAUAAAUGAAAAUCGGAAGUAUUAAAAUCUUUUUAAUUGGGAAAAAUGGUUUGUAAAUUUUUUUUGAUUUUUAAUGAAUUUGAACAAUGUACUAAAAGUAAUAGCAAAAGUUAGUAAAGUGCUAAAUUUGACGAUAAGUGUCAAAAGUACAAAUCAAUGAUAGUUUAGGAUGUAAAGUGCAUUUAAUCCUUAUAAAUGUUAGACAUUUAUAAAAAAGCUCUAUCUAACAAGUACCUUAAGAUGGAGUGCAGAUAUAACUGUUUUUCUUUCUUUCUUUCUUUUAUUAAAAAAAGAAGCUAAAUAGUGAAAGCAUAUAAAUGUAAGGAUUGCCACUUGAAGUACAUUCCAUAUUUUGCUGGAAAUAAUUAUUUGGCGCUUGAAAAAAAAAUUAAAACAAAGGACCACAAUACAGCCAAAAGUUAAAACCACACGUGUAAUGGUGAUAUGGAGAAGUGGGCCAAAGUUCCCACGUCACUUGAUGACUAGGAGAAAGUUCACCUCCUCCACCUGCUACUAAAUACUGCACGUAAGAAAGAGAGCUAAAUAGUAAAUACAUCACAUCGAAGAAAAAAUAUCUGACUCAUACGAUAGCACCAAAAUCUUGAAGCCCAAUGGGCCAUAGAUUGGAUUGGCCGAUUCACUGAUUAAACUAUAAAUAUAUCAUACUUUCGAUUCAAUUUAAUAACCAACUAAAAAAUUUAGUUGAAUUGGUCAAAUUCAAUUAAAAACGGGUUGGCUUGAUAAAAACAGGGAAAUUCAACUGAAUUUCACUAAUUUUUUUUUUAUAAAAAGAUACUUCAGUUUAUUCCCUUUUUUAAUACUAAUUAAAAAAAAGAUUAAAACCUUUGCAUCGGUUGAACCGCAAUCCGAAAACUCUUCCAUUUCACUCUCCUGUCUGGGUUUUAAAACAUUGAAUUCAGUCUAUGGAUUCAGAUAUUCCAUCACAAACUAGUUGUCUCUUUGGCAAGUGGUUGGAAACGUCCACACGUAAGGCUUCUACCUGGGAGAAGUCAGAAGCAUACCAGUAGAUUCGAAGAAAAACACAGCAGAUCAGUUUCUAAGCUACAAACAUGGAAAAAACACAGCUUGUUUUUGUUCCAGCACCAGGCAUAGGUCACUUGGUAUCCACAGUUGAGUUCUCAAAGCGCUUAACUGAAAGAGAUGACCGGCUAUCAAUAGUUGUUCUGGUUAUAAGCUCAGUCUCUGCCAAAAAAAUGGAGUCGUACACUGAACGAGUGGCUGCUUCAAACACUGCUAUUCAAUUCAUCAACAUUCCUCAAGCAGAUCCACCUUCAGCAGAGUUCUUGAAGUCCCUCGAAAACUAUCAUGCUCUUUUCAUGGAAAACCACAAAUCCCAUGUCAAAAAAGCAAUAGUCGACCUAGUAUCAGAACCACAUACUUCUCUUGCCGGAAUUGUGGUUGAUCUAUUCUGUAGUUCAAUGAUUGAAUUAGCAAACGAGCUCGGUGUUCCUUCCUAUGUGUUCUUCACCUGUAGCGCUGCCUUUCUUGGCUUCAUGCUUUAUCUCCCAAUUCACUAUAACCAGAUUGGAAGAGAAUUCGAGACUUCGGAUUCUGAUUCGAUCAUUCCAACUUAUUCUCACCCUGUCCCUACAAAUGUCGUGCCUUCUUUUGCAUUUAACAAGUAUGGUGGUUAUGCCUCAUUCUUGAAACAUGCUACAAGGUUCAAAGAGACAAAAGGAAUCAUCGUAAACACGUUUGCAGAAUUAGAACCUCAUGCUGUGAAUCAAUUGAAAUCCGACAGUGAAACACUACCAAUUUACACAGCUGGACCCUUGCUCGACCUGGAGGGCAAAAGGCAAGACUCAGACUGCGAAAGGAUAAUGAAAUGGCUAGAUGACCAGCCUCCAUCAUCAGUGGUAUUCCUCUGUUUUGGAAGCAUGGGUAGUUUUGAGCCUGACCAGUUAGCAGAGAUGGCAAUUGCCCUCGAGCACAGUGGCUACAGGUUCUUGUGGGCUGUCAGGUCGCCCCCAUCCAAGGACGAUAUCACAAAAAGGAUGGGCGAAUAUUCCAAUUUGUCUGAAGUACUUCCAGAAGGUUUCUUGGAACGUGUCGAGAAUCGAGGAUUGGUGUGUGGUUGGGCACCGCAGAUGGAGGUGCUGGCUCAUGAAGCAGUUGGUGGAUUUGUAUCGCACUGUGGCUGGAAUUCCACCCUGGAAAGCCUGUGGUAUGGGGUGCCUGUUGCAACAUGGCCUCUUUAUGCUGAGCAACAAAUUAACGCAUUUGAAUUGGUCAGAGAAUUGGGACUAGCUCUGGAAUUGAAGUUGGAUUAUCGAACGGAAAAUGCAAAGAAUCUUGUAAUGGCUGAGGAAAUAGAGAAAGCUAUCAGAUGCUUGAUGGACUCCGAAAAUCCAAUCAGAGGGAGAGUUAAAGAAAUGAAAGAAAUGAGUAGAAAGGCCAUUCAAAAUGGGGGCUCUUCAUUCAUCUCAGUUGGACGCUUUAUUGAAGAUAUCCAUAUCAACAAAGCAAAUAAGGCGUAGAAUCAUUUCCGCCACAUGAUCAUGUUAUCAGUAGAUUAAGGGAAGUUUCUUCAGCUGCUCCUAUUUCCCAAAAUCAAUUUGCUUUGUUUAUUUUAGUGUUUCUUAAUCGAUCUUAUUGUCACAUUUGGGAUUAAAUUCAUGUUAGCACGGCCUCCUUGUGUUUGAAUAUAUAUGUUUUUUCUUCAUACUGAGGUCCUGGAGUUCGUCAUUACUUCCCUUUUUCAUAAGUUUUGUUAAAUUGCUAUUAUGUACUUCUUAGUUCAUACUUAUCUUCUUAUCUUUUGUGAUUCCAUUAUUAAAAAAUUUUCUUGGUAAUCAUCUUUUCGGUUUGACAUGGUGAGCACACUCUCAAUUUUAGUGAAAACUGAAAAUUAAGUAAUCUUGUUAUACAUCUUAAGUUUGUAAUUCUAACUUAUUUUGUGUGUAAAUACUAAAUAGUGAAUACGUGAAAAUGGAUGUAGAUCACAUUCCUCACGGUCCAUCAAUCAAGUGUAAAAAAAUUUGGUCAAAUCUUGGACAUGAAAUAUGGCCAAAUUUGCAUUCUUUCCCAAGUCAGGUCUUCAAUCCUGAUCGAAAGUUGUUCAAUCAAUUUAAUAUUGGAAUCCAGUAUCAUUUAGAUCUGGAUUUGGUGGCAAAUCAAUUGCAAUCUCCAUUAGUUAAUAAUACAAAGCCACUAAAUCUUGAAGGUCCAGGUGUUCGGUUCCAGUUUUGCUUCUGUGAAAUAAAUAAUAGAAAGCGUGGUCAAGUGGCUUUGCUCAUGCAUGACCAAACCCCUUUCAUUUUUUUUCCCCUCUUUUCUGUAUAUCACAAACAAAUCUACCUAUUAUAUAAGAAAGAAGUGAGAUUGCUGCAAUCUCUAUGGUGCUGUAGCAAUCUCUAUGGCUGCCAAGUGGCGCCCAUCUACUUUGACACAUGGCUCAUUAAUCUUUUGAGUAAGCUAUCUUUAUUUUUUUUCCCUUUUUUUUUUUGGCUUUUAUUUUCCCCUCAUUUCCUUCUUUCUUUUUGGCAAAAGACAACCACAAGAACUCUCAUCCUCAUCUACACUAUCACUUGCAUACUCAAUUUUCACUCUGUACUCUUUUCAUUUUUUUUCUCUUUUUUUCCUUCACCCUAAAUUGUUUACUCUGUUUUUUUUUCUAUUAAAUUAGUUGAUGCAUUUUUUUUUCAAUUUUUCCAUAAUUAACUAAAUGAAUGGUUUUUGUUGUUGGAGGGGAUGAGGGAAGAUAGCAAUUUUUAUUGAGUGAAGAUAACAAUUUUUCCUCAACUUAUAUUCAUUCCAAUUUUAGUUUUCAUUUAUUAAAAUUGUUAUUUGAUAAUAGGCUAAUAGUGCUAGGAUGGAUGAGGAAGAAUUUGACAAGUGAAGAUCCAAGGUGAAUGAUGGCUGCCAAAUGGCUCCUAUCUACUUUGACAUGCGGCUCAUUAAUCCUUUGAGGAAACUAUUUUUUUUUCCUUUUUCUUUUGGCUUUCUUUUUUCUCCUCAUUUCCUCUUUCCUUUCUGGCAAAGACAAUCACAAGAACCCUCAUCCUCAUCUACACUAUCAUUUGCAUGCUCAAUUUUCACUCUGUACUCUUUUCAUUUGUUUCUCUUUUUUUUUUCCUUCACCUUAAUCAUUUACUCUUUUUUUUUAUAUUGAAUUAGUUGAUGCAUUUUUUUUCAAUUUUUCUAUAAUUAACUAAAUGAAUGGGUUUUGUUGUUUGAGUGGAUGAGGGAAGAUAGCAAUUUUUGUUGAGGGAAGAUAACAAUUUUUCCUCAACUUAUUUUCAUUCCAAUUUUAGUUUUCAUUUAUUAAAAUGGUUAUUUGACAAUAGGCUGAUAGUGCUAGGAUGGAGGAGGAAGAAUUUGACAAGUGAAGAUCCAAGGUGAAUGAUGACUCGGAAGGAAAUAGAGAGGUCUAUUGAAGUUAAAAUUAAUCAAAAUCUCUUAAUUUAUAGAUAGAUAAUUAUAUUUCCAUAUUUUGAUUUAUUUAAAGUUUCUUAAUAGUGAAAAAUGGUUAUUUAUUAGAUGAGAAGGAUAAUAUGUAAAGGAAUUGUCGGGGCUAGCAAUUUAGGAUAUGAAUAAAAUAUUUCGUAUAAUCUCUUCAUUUUAGGUUACUGACUUGUAUCCAUGACAAGUGGCUUAUUUUCAUUGCAUGAUAGUUUGAGAAGAAAAAAAAGUGUAAAACUAGAUUUUAAAAUCAUUUGCUUAAGUUGGUUCUAUGAAUUUGUAUUUUUAUAUAAGCUAGAUGUGGAACUCGAUAUAUCAUGACUAUUUGGCUAAAGGAGUUGAUAAAUUUUUGUAAACUCAAGUAGUUGAAUUGAUUACUGUUGUUAAGGAAUUGCAAUUGGUGGUGGAAGUCAAAAUUGUGACUUUUAGCCUAGAGUGUGAUUCGACAAAAAAAUUGUUAAAAAAUUCAAUCUUGAUUAAGAAGACAUUUUUCAGAUCAAACAAAUGAUUUGUUUCGAAUUUGUAUAUGUACAUUUGCAAACAUGGCAGUACAUAUUUUUAUCUAAUAUUGUUAUUUGUAUCCUCAAGCUUUUUGGCAAAUAAUGUUAUCACCUGUUGUAAUGCUAUUAAAAAGGAUUUAAAUGGAUGGAUUAACAACUCAUUUUUUCUCUGAAAAAGACAAAAAAACCAAUGUAUAGGUUUGUAUGUUUUGAAAAGGAUAGAAAAAUGUGCAAGUUUGUAUCUUUUAUUGAUAUUGAAAAAUGUGACAAAUUUUGGUGACUUUCUAAACCUUUUCUAAUUAUUAAAGUGCUAGAAGUAUUAUGACUACUUUUGGUUUAGUCACAAUUAAAGUAUGCUGCUAUUAAAUUGAUAAUGUAGUGUACUUAUUAUCUCUCCUUUUUUUGGUAUUAUUAUGCACACAUAGUAUUGGUUCAAAAAUCUUUGUUUCAUAAACGAAAUUUCUCUUCAUAGCAAAUUUUAAUUGUUUUGAUGCUCAAAUUUUCUCCUAUAUUUACCAAAAAGAUAUAUUGCUUUAUGUUUAACUAAACUUCUAAGGGGCACAGAGCACGGCCAAGAUGCCUCUAGUGUAAAGAAUGACUGAGAAAGAACCACUAGGGACUAUUUUUAAAUUACUCGAAUCCGAUUAUUUUAUUUAUUUGGUAAAGUAUUAGUUGAAUUCAUUGAUUAGGACAUGUAGAACUAAAUAUUUUUGGUUUUUAAAAAGAUAAAUAUAAGAAAGAAAAUGAGUUAUGAGAGUAGUAUUGAGACAUGUGUCGUGUACAAGUGUAUAAAAUAGACAAAAAUUUACUACUAUAUUUUCAGUAACGAUUGCUACACCUGGAGGCAGUUCAAAAGGAAAUCCAUGCCUGCUGAUUGACAGGUUGUUGAAGCCUGUACAAUAAUAAAAUUAAACCUAAUUGCCAGUUAAAUGACCAAAACCCAAUUCCAAGUACUGGAGCAGGGACUCUAGGUGUACAAUGGGUUACUUGAUUUACCCUGUUCCCGAAGAGUUUGUUUGAUCCGAUAUACCCGAAUGGAAUGGUUAUUUCUUUUCACAAAUAAUUAUGAAUUUGUAGACAGAGCAAGUAGGGUCGUAUCUACAGGGAUUGGAUAUAUUUGUUUCUUAAGAAAUCCAAAGUAACACAAGGCGGUGAUUUGUAGGAGCGACGACAAUCAAAUAAAUUCAAAUAAGAAAAUAAAAAUAAAUAACUAACUAGAAAUUAAACCACAAUUCACUGAACUUAGAGUAACAAUAAUUAAAGACCUAAAUCAAUUAAAACAAGAAAACAAUUAAAAAUAAAAUAAAGUAGGCAACUUAAAGUCAAAUGGCAAUUCACUAAAAUCAAGGUAGUAUUAAUUAAGGAUCUAGCCAAGAAGUAACUUCAGCAAUGGUUCACCUAAUUGAUCAUCGAAGCAAAGGCAAUUCCAAUUAUUUACUAAUAAAUAGGUUAUAACUGCCAAACAAGCGAUGACAGUCAACCCCUCUUUACUGUAUCGGUGAUUAAGGUACGCCCAUUAAUCACUGCUCUAAUUAGGAAAUAAUCCUAGGUACGCCCGUAAGAUUUAAUUCCCUAAUUGCCUUACGUAUUAGAGGAGGCCUAUUCUAACCAAAUAACGCACUACUAGGUUAUUUCAGAUUAGCCCGCGUAUCCCCCUGACACAAAUCUAAUCGUGCCAGUUAUCACUAAUUUAAGGCAAUUAAACAAUUACGGAUUUAAUGCCUUAAUUGACAAUAGAUUAUCAAAUCAAUUAAUUAUCCGGAUCCAAGACAAUCAAUUAAUUAAACAAUCAUAAGCACUGUAGCCAGGGAAUAUGCGAAUACCAAUAAAUAAAAGAAAAGGGUAAAAUUAAAUCGAUUUCACAAUUUUAGGCAACUCAAAGCAUCCGUUGUCCCUUGACUAGAGUGAGGGAAUUAAUUCAUGUUUGAUAAACUAAACCCACAAGAAAUUGUAAAGAGAGCCGCGGCCAUUAUCACAAAAAUUGGGAAAUGCAAUUCACUCCAAUCAAGAAAAAAAUAGCAAAGUUACAAGAGGUAGCCCUCUGUUUUUCUUCAAAUGACAUACGAAGAAAGGAAUGUAAAUACUAAAGGUUCAAAGAUGAAGAAAAGUCAAAAGCCAAGAAUGGCUUAGGGGGACUUACGUGGCUUAGGGGUCCUGACAUUCGUAAGUCCUCAAAGCCAUAAAGUAAGUCCAAAAACUGCACUCAAAGACGAAAAACUAAGAAGAAAAGCUAGUACUAGUUUUCUGCCCUCAAUUCUUCCUCUUUAUCUGCGGCGGCUCCUUUUCCUCUCUUUUUUGAGGAAGACUUCGGCCAAAUGACAAUAAAGGGCUUGCGUCUCUUUUGUUCUAAAAAUGCCCCUGCAAGCCUUCUAUUUGAAUUCUUUCCUGAUGAUUAUCAAAUUGGCCUUGAUUGUGAUGUUUUUGUUCUACUCCCUGAAAUAAAUGCAAAUUACAAAAAGUGAAUAGAAUCCAGCAAUUAAUCCACAUUAAGUCGGUUAAUAGGGGAAAUUAAUAAUAAAAUAAAUAGUAAAAUUACAACUUAUCAAUUCCCCCCACACCUAAACCAUGCUUGCCCUCAAGCAUGAUAACAACAAACAAACACCAAUAUCUGACAAUGGCUAUUGCUCCAUCUAUCAUAUUGCCAAGAUACCAAGAAAAACAUAGAUCAAGCCUCAGUGAUCAAGAUCCAAGAAAUAUCACUUCGGUUAGCUUCUAAACUGCAAACUCUUCCAAUUUUAAGUUAACUAAUCUAAGAAAAAGGAAUGACGCACAACAUUUAUCAGCAAAUGGUCCAACUAUUAACCAAAAUCUCAACAUUAAAUUCAUAAAUCGACAAGCUGACUUUUAUUAUACACUAACACAACCUUCAUUUUUUUCACAUUUUUCUACUUUUCUCUUUUUUCUUUCCUUUUUCUCUCCUUUUUUUUUUUUUGCUUUUUUCAAUAGUACAAAAGACUUAGUCGCUAGCCAUUGGAGUCUUUUGACGCGAACUCUGACAUUUGUUAGAUGAAAGAGCCCGGUUACUCAACUUCUAUCGCUACGUGACCACGCACUCAUAGCAAUUACUACUUUUUGAUGCAAGAAUCGACACUUUUAGGUGCAGAUCUCCGGUUACUCAGUAGUAAAUACUAGCGGAGUACAGUCAACUCUUAUUCACAGCCUAAUAACACCAAAAAUUCAAAAUAAAACAAAAAUCAAAAGAAAAUUUGCAGCCGUUAGCCUCAAUUUUAAAUAUGGAGAACUAAGGUUAAUAACCGGACCAAUUCACAUGAAAAUGCCAACAGUCAUUCCCAAUGCCUAGAAGAGUUAACCAAAAAAUAGAAGAGCCAUACAAUCACCGAUAUUCACCAAAGAGAUAUUUUUGGACUCAACCACACUAACUUGAUACAUUCUUAUUAUUAAAACUUGACAAAAGUAGAAAUAGAGGCAACAAUCCAACAUCAAACCUUGGCAUGCACAGGAGAGCUAGACAGAUGAAUGACAAAAAGUAAGCGAAAACUAGACAAAUGACAAAUUAAAAAUAAAAGAAAAAUAUCUGAAAACUAAGAACUAUAAAAACUAACACCAUAACUGCUCCCCCCCACACCUAAAUCCUACAUUGUUCUCAAUGGAAGUAAUAAAGUAAUUAAAGUGAAGAGAACAAUGAAACUUCCCUCUCAAGUGGCGAAGGGGUAGGCGGGAACAGUGGAGGAAAACUGAUGUGGCGAAAGGAUGCACCCAAGUGCUGAGACAUCUUAACUCAAUUCAACCAGCAAAUGCAAAACUCUGUCCACCCAAAAUCUCAACAAAUGGCUCCAGUUGGCCAGUUACCGUUUGAACUCAAAAUCAGCAAUAGCAGUGCAGAAAUUAGACAGUAACAAAUCAAUAAAAAAAACACUGAGCUUUCAAUCAAACAGUCACCCAAAUAGCAACCUAAGUCAGUAGCCAAUUUGUCGCCAACUAAUCAAUUAAAUUCUACCAACGUCCACGAGUAGAUUCAAGUGCCACCGUGCUACCAAAAAUGUCAACAAAUGAAACCAAUAGGCAAAGCAUUCUCCAACUUGUUAACAUAAAUCCAGUCAACACCCAAGGCAGCAAAACAAACCCCAAAGCAAUGCAAUUAGCAACUCCAGCAAUUCAAUAUAAAGCAGUGGCAAAACAAAUCACAACGAGGCCCAAAACAUGAUUGGAACAAUACUACUGCAAAAGUUUGCUAGGGAAUUGAGACAAAUAAAUACCGUCACAUCGUCUUUGAGCGACAAUUCCAAGCAAUAUUUGGGCAACGGAAACCGUGGGUAGCGAUGGGAGGCAAGCGUCGGCGAGGUGAAGUGGUAGUCGCUGGUGGAAGGUGACGGGCGGAGAGAGAGGAGUUGGAGGGCCGCGGCUGCGUGGCUGUGCGACGCUGUGGUGGGUUGCCCUGUAGUGGCAGCGGCGGCGCGCAAGCAGGUCGUCUGCUUGGGCUUGCGAUGCGACCGGUGGAACGACGGCAGCUCGCGGGCGGAGAUGAGCUGGUGAACGACUGUGGUGGCGGCACGAGGAAGGCUGAAGACUUGGGGUAUGGCGGCGGGCGGCGAGGCUUCGAUUGAGCAGGAGGAAGAAACAAAAGAGAAGAAAGAAAGAAAGAAGAAAGAAGAAAGAAAUAAAGAAAGAAAAGAAGAAGAAAGAAAGAAAAGGAAAGAAAAGAAAGAAUAGGGAAAAAAGAAAAAGAAAGAAAAUAGUAUUUGUGUUUUUUUUUUUUUGCUUUUUUGUUUUUUUUUUUCAUUUUAGAAAUUUUUUUUUGUUUUCACGGAAAGACUCCCUUUUUUUUUCUCCUUGUUACUUACUUGAAAAUUUUUUUUUACAUAUAUCAUCUUUUUUUUUAUUAUUAACAAAAUUUAUUUUUGGAAUUCAAAAGUAGAGAUUAACAGGAAAUCAAUAAUCGUUUUUGAGUUUUUUUUUUUGAAUACUUACCUUUCCUGCGAAUGUGACGUGGGCACGUGACGAAGGCAUGGAGUGAAGAGCUCUCCAAGUUACUUGACGCGGACACGUCAUGAGAGCAAGAGAGCUCUCUGACCAUGAGCUCUUCAGGGGACUUGACGCGGGCGCGUCAUGAGGAUCGAAACUCUUUCUAACGAUUCUAAUCGUGAGCUCUCUAUACGUCACGACGUGGGCGCGUCAUGAGGGCAGGAACCCCUUCUGACGAUUCUGACCGUGAGCUCUCCAUGUCUCAUCACGCGGGCGGGUCAUGAUAGAAGAACACCUACAAAUCAGCAAAAACGAAAAUUGAAACCCAAAAUCAGUCAAAUUCAAGGAAAACAUAUUUAAACUAUCACACGAAAUCAAACAAACAAUUAAAAGAAAUAAUUGGUUUGCCUCCCAAUGAGCGCCUUUCUUUAAUGUCUUUUGCUAAACAUUGAACACCACUCUUCAAUCUGGGUGUAACUCAAUUUUCCUGAAAAUCAGUGGCCCUCCUCCAGGAUCCAAAUAGCCUUUGAGUGCAGUCUUCUUUCUUAAUUUUCUACUCCUUUUCACCUCAUACAGUGCUUUCAUUCCCUUAUACUUGUUCUCAGUAAAUUUGAAUUUAUUCCUACAAGCAAACUCAGAAAAUUCUUUCACAGAGGGAUUAAUAGCAUGAAUAGCAAACACAUGGUGAGAGUUAACAGGAUGUUCCAUUGUAUCGAAAAUAUUAAAGUGGACUAAUUCUCCAUCAAAUUCCAUGGACAAUGUACCCUUAUUAACAUCAAUUUUUGUCUGUGCUGUACUCAAAAAGGGUCUACCUAGUAGCAAAGGUGAAGGGUUAGGGGAAUGAUCAUCAUCCAUGUCAAGUACAUAAAAGUCAGCCGGGAAUAUCAAUUAUUAACUUUAACCAGCACAUCCUCUAACAACCCAUCAGGGUAUGCAUUUGUUCGGUUAACUAAUUGAAUUAUUAUUUCGGUUUCUUUUAAUGGACCGAGGUUCAGAGAAGCAUACAUAGAUUUAGGCAUUACGUUGAUCGAUGCUACUAAGUCCAGCAGGGUAUUGCUAAUCAGAGUAUUACCUAUCUUACGUGGGACAGUAAAUCUAUCUGGAUCCCCACACUUUGGUGGGAGCUUUCUUUGGAGAAUUGUUGACACAUUCUCCCCAAGAAUAACUCUUUCAUCUCCCCUCAACCUCCUUCGAUUGACACAUAGGUCCCUCAAAAAUUUUGCAUACUUCGGCACUUGCUUGAUGGCGUCUAGUAAGGGAAUAUUGAUCUCUACCUUGCGAAACACCUCCAGGAUCUUUUUCUCAUUGUCCUGUUUCUUCGACUUUUCCAACCUACAAAGAAAUGGAGGGGGAUUAGUUUUAAUGUCUAUGAUCGGGUCAGGGAGUACCAUUGGAUUUUUGGUGCUUGUAUUCUCUGCCUGAAGUUCUUUCUCAAUCUUUUCUUCGUCAUUAUCCUUUGGAGUCACAAGUUCGGACCCCUGAAUUUCCUUCCCGCUCCUUAAAGUCAUUGCACUUACGUUCUUCAGGUUCAGUUCAGGUUGGGAUGGCAAUCUUCCAUUUACUUGGGACUCCAAACGGUUGAUUUUUGUGGCCAUUUGACUCAUCUGAUUUCUUAUGUCCUGUAUUUCGGAGUCCGUCCUUUGCUGAUUUUGCGUGAUGGUUGCCAUAAGUUGUUUCAUCAUCUCCUCCAAAGAUGGACCAGAGCUUGGGGGCGGAGGUGGUCGGGGUUGAUAUUGUUGCUGGUACCCUGGUUGCUUAUUUGGCACGAAAUUAGACUGCAUGUUCGGUGCAAAGUUGGGCUGUCUAUUUCUUCCAUAAUUGAAAUUCGGGUGGUCCUUCCAGCCGGGAUUGUACGUAUUCGAGUACGGGUCAUAGGGCCAUUUUGGCGCAGGCGCGUGACCAACCAUGUUCACUUGCUCUGCACUUUCUUCCUGAAUCGCUGGGCACAUCUCUGUAGAAUGACUCAUACCAGUGCAAAUUCCGCAUACCUUGGCCUGAGAUGCGUUUCCUACAGCCAGUUGUCUAACAAACGAGGUCGACUCAGUUAGCUGCUACUGGAUAGAGGAUGUCUCUACCUCAUUCACCUUGCGUGUUGGGACAUCCUCCCUCGUACCGAAUUGUUGUGAAUUCUCUGCCAUCCCCUCAAUUAACUCCUGUGCUUCCCGAGGGCUUUUGUUCACCAGUGCCCCUCCACUUGCAGCAUUAAUUAUGCUCCUAUCUCUGAAAAGGAGCCCCUCAUAAAAAUACUGUAUGAGUAACUGCUCACUUAUCUGGUGUUGGGGGCAUUUGCUGCACGACUUCUUGAAUUGCUCCCAAUAUUCAUAGAGUGACUCCCCUGGAUGCUGUUUGAUCCCGCAAAUUUCUUUCCUUAGACUUGCAGUCCUGGACGCAGGAAAAUAUUUAUCCAAAAAUUUUUUCUUUAAUUGGUCCCAUGUGGUGAUGCUACCUGGUGGCAAGUAGUACAAGCAGUCCUUUGCAGAUCCUUCAAGGAAAAGGGGAAUGCCCUCAUUUUUAUUUGUUUUUCUGUAAUGCCCGGAGGUUCAUACUAUUGCACACGACAUCAAACUCAUGCAGAUGCUUAUACGGCUCUUCACCUGGUAAACUAUGAAAAGAGGGUAAAAGAUGAAUCAGACCAGAUUUUAGUUCAAAUGGAGUGUUAUCAUUUAAGGUGGGGAAGGUAAUGCAUAGAGGCUGCUGAUUUAAAAUAGGGGCAGCCAACUCCCUUAAUGUUCGUGCAUUAGCCAUGGUUCCUUCCUUUUGGUCAGAGUCACUUGAAGUGUCACUAAACGAAUCUGUUGGUUCAACUCCUGGCUCAGGUCUCUGAGAUGCAACACUGGACUGCUCCUCUCUGAGCUGUCUGAUUUUCUUUCUCGUUCUACGUGCGAUCUUCUCUACUUCAGGGUCAAAAAUCAAAUCACCUGUACGAGAAAAUCGAGACAUACACUAGAAAAAAAAUACCAGAAAAUUAGAAUAAAAAUUAAUUUAAAAAGAAACAAAUAAUAAUGCUAGUCCCCGGCAACGGCGCCAAAAAUUGACAGGUUAUCGAAACCUGUACAAUAAUAAAAUUAAACCUAAUUUCCAGUUAAAUGACCAAAACCCAAUUCCAAGUACUGGAGCAGGGACUCUAGGUGUGCAAUGGGUUAUUUGAUUCACCCGAUUCCCGAAGAGUUUGCUUGAUCCGAUAUACCCGAAUGGAAUGGUUAUUUCCUUUCAUAAAUAAUUAUGAAUUUGUAGACAGGACAAGUAGGAUCGUAUCCACAGGGACUGGGUAUAUUUGUUUCUUAAAAAAUCCAAAGUAACACAGGGCGGUGAUUUAUAGGAACGACGACAAUCAAAUAAAUUCAAAUAAGAAAAUAAAAAUAAAUAACUAACUAGAAAUUAAACCACAAUUCACUGAACUUAGAGUAACAAUAAUUAAAGGCCUAAAUCAAUUAAAACAAGAAAACAAUUAAAAAUAAAAUAAAGUAGGCAACUAAAAGUCAAAUGGCAAUUCACUAAAAUCAAGGUAGUUUUAAUUAAGGAUCUAGCCAAGAAGUAACUUUAGCAAUGGUUCACCUAAUUGAUCAUCGAAGCAAAGGCAAUUCCAAUUAUUUACUAAUAAAUAUGUUAUAAUUGCCAAACAAGUGAUGGCAGUCAACCCCUCCUUACUGUGUCGGUGAUUAAGGUACGCCCGUUAAUCACUGCUCUAAUUAGGAAAUAAUUCUAGGUACGUCCGUAAGAUUUAAUUCCCUAAUUGCCUUACGUAUUAGAGGAGGCCUAUUCUAACCAAAUAACGCACUACCAGGGUUAUUUCAGAUUAGCCCGCGUAUCCCCCUGACACAAAUCUAAUCGUGCCAGUUAUCACUAAUUUAAGGCAAUUAAACAAUUACGUAUUUAAUGCCUUAAUUGACAAUAGAUUAUCAAAUCAAUUAAUUAUCUGGAUCCAAGACAAUCAAUUAAUUAAACAAUCAUAAGCACUGUAACCAGGGAAUAUGCGAAUACCAAUAAAUAAAAGAAAAGGGUAAAAUUAAAUCGAUUUCACAAUUUUAGGCAACUCAAAGCAUCCGUUAUCCCUUGACUAGAGUGAGGGAAUUAAUUCAUUUUUGAUAAACUAAACCCACAAGAAAUUGUAAAGAGAGCCGCAACCAUUAUCACAAAAAUUGGGAAAUGCAAUUCACUCCAAUCAAGAAAAAAAUAGCAAAGUUACAAGAGGUAGCCCUAUGUUUUUCUUUGAAUGACAUACGAAGAAAGGAAUGUAAAUACUAAAGGUUCAAAGAUGAAGAAAAGUCAAAAGCCAAGAAUGGCUUAGGGAUCCUGACAUUCGUAAGUCCCCAAAGCCAUAAAGUAAGUCCAAAAACUGCACUCAAAGACGAAAAACUAAGAAGAAAAGCUAGUACUAGUUUUCUGCCCUCAAUUCUUCCUCUUUAUCUGCGGCGGCUCCUUUUCCUCUCUUUUUUGAGGAAGACUUCGGCCAAAUGACAAUAAAGGGCUUGCGUCUCUUUUGUUCUAAAAAUGCCCCUGCAAGCCUUCUAUUUGAAUUCUUUCCUGAUGAUUAUCAAAUUGGCCUUGAUUGUGAUGUUUUUGUUCUACUCCCUGAAAUAAAUGCAAAUUACAAAAAGUGAAUAGAAUCCAGCAAUUAAUCCACAUUAAGUCGGUUAAUAGGGGAAAUUAAUAAUAAAAUAAAUAGUAAAAUUGCAACCUAUCACUGAUAGACUUGUUGAUUCAAUAAUUGAUACAAUCAAGAACUAUUAUGUGGUUGAAAGAAUGUGAAGAAAACGAAGGAAAAUUAGGAUUUUUGUGUAAAUUAGAGCUUUGUUGACAGUUUUUUUAGCUCAUAGUUGAUUCUGUAGUGUUGUAAUUGUAGUUUUCGUAUUGAUUUGUGAUAGACUAAAAAAAAAAAAAAGUGACAACGGGAUCAUAUAGAAUAACAACGUGAAAUAAUUAGUUGUAAAGAUGUUAAGAAAAAAUUCGUCGACUGAUUUGGCCAAGGAUUAAUCCUAAGACCUAGUUUUGGAUAACAAGAUAUUAGGAUUCAAAUAAUACAAAUAAAAAGUUCGAGGGAGGAUAGGGUUGGGUAAACUUUCUAAAAUUCUUAGUUCUCCUAUUAAAUUAUUUUUCAUGCAGAAUAGCCUACUAAAUUCAAGGGAGGAUAGGGUUGGGUGAUAAGGAGGGAGGGAUCGUAAGUUAAAAGUUCUAAAUUCAAGACUUCUCACUUAAUCCAAAAAAAAAAAAAAACUACUAAGUUCGUAAAAAUAGUUCAUCUUGGCCAUUUGAUUUAUUCUCGCAGUUAAGAUAGACAGAAGUUAGUCCACAUGAGAUGCAUGCCUAUUCUGAAUGAACAAUUUUAGAUAUUUUCCAUAAAAUUUUCAACCUUAUUAGGCAUCAGCUUCCGGUUUGAUGACCUAUUUCUUUUCUCAAUAUUUUUCCUUUAGAACCCUCAUUCUCCAUUUUUUUUCCAUUUUUCCUAUUUUCCGCCUAUGCCAUUCAUUUUUGCCUUGAUCCAAGAUCUAUGUUACAAGUUGUUUGGCCGCUUCGUAAUUUACUUCUUCUUGGGCCCUAUUUUUAAUUGUUCUCUUUUGUGGACCGCAAACAUCAGUUUUUGUUUCUAAGCUUCUUUCAAUUGAAAGAUGAAAGAUGCUCCUUUUGUUGGAAGCUUCACUGUUUGACUCUGACUUACUUUUAUAUUUGCAAUGCUAUAUAUCAUGCUAUGUAUCAUGCGUACCUUUUUCACUGUAUUUUAAACCACAAAAUGUAUUAGAAAAAACAAAUUGUUAUUUAAUAAUGGUCUAUAUUUCUCUGUAUCAAAGUUAUGAUGAGACAACAAAAGAUGUGAAUAAAUUAAAUCUAGCGAAAGUCAACCACUUUAAGACAAUUUUGAUGAGUAAUUAACACCAUGAAAAUUUUUGUGGACAUAUAUGAGGAAGUCAAAAAAAUUUUUUGGAAAAUAUGUUUUAAUCCAUGAUGUACUUUAAGUUGUACUGAUAACUAAAAUAAUCUCUUCAUAUGUGUGGUUUGUAAUAUAAAUCUUACUUAUAGAAAAAAAAUUUAUAAAUGAGUCAAAAUUUAAAAAAUAAUCAAAAAAUAAUCCAAUGACCAAAUAUAUAUUUAGGAAUAUCCUUUUUUUUUAAACAUCAUGCUUUAUGGUAGAUAAUAGUUGAUGUAUAUCUAUAAAAUUACUCAUUAUUGUAUUUAUAAAAGCUCAUAUUUUCAUCUUUUUACUUUUUAACCUUAUUUAUUUUUUAUUGUUGUUGUAAGCUUCAAAAGUAGGAUAACAUAAGGGUAGUAUUGGAAGAAAUACUUUAUCUUUCUUGCAUUUCCUCCAAGGGAACUAAAAUAUUAUAAGAAAUGUCAAUUCAAGAGCAGUAGAUGAGAUUUUAAAAACCAAAAGGGUGCUGAGUGAUAUUGUGCAAAAUAUUAGGAGAGGUUUCUGAAAUUGUCCCUUAUAAAUUUUAAUGGGGGGUGAAAGUUACCCCGCCCCACCCUACGCCAUGAACCGCACGCAGGCACCUGCUCCAAUUGUCAUCCCUAAUUUCAUCCACUUAAUCUCAAAACAAACUCAUCCAUACCAUUAAUUGCACCCAUCAAAUUCGUGAUUUUAGGCACCUCAAUCCUGUUUAUUCCGAACAAAAAUUUGUUGCAAUAAGGUGACACUUCCACAGCAGGCAAACAAAAGUAACCCCUCCUAGCCAGAACACAGAUUCUAAUCUAAGAAGCCAUAUGCAAUAUUCAUUCCAUCCUAAUGAGAUCGAAUUUUUUUGUGUUUGUUCAGUCUAGCUAUCUGCGGUGUUCUGGUUAAGAAAUGGCACUCAAUUUUUAUUGGAGAUUAAAUAUUUAAGGUUAAUUAAAAAUUUUCUUCUAAUUUAUGUUCAGUUGCACUUUGCCUCCUUGAACUAAAAGAAUGGAGGUUUACUCCCUUUGAAAGGCUCUCUCACCAUAAAUAAAAAUAAAUUAAUGAUGCCAACUUGUUUUAGGCAAAUAUGCCAUUCAUUGAGUUUUUGUAAAAAUAUAAUAUUUUCUUAUUUAUGUACAAUUAGUUUAGAUAAUCUUUUUAUUGGUAAUCCCCAUGCAAGGGGAAGAAAUGCCACCCUAGAUAUUUUAUUGAUUAAUUUUAAAUUUUUGAUGGAGGCAGAUAUGCCCAAUCUCCUAUAAGUGGAAAGCAAGUAAAAAAGAAGUACUACCCUUUACAUAUUUGAAAUGAAAUUAAUCAAAAAACCUAAGCUAAGAUGUUACAAUAGAGCAUCUAAAAGAUGGGAACCCAAGUCUAUCGUUUACAUGAUCUUUUUAGAGUUAUUUGCCUAAAUAACUCCCUGCACAAAAAAAAAUUCCUAAAAUGAUUCAAUUUCAUACUUUAUUCCAGUAACAACUAAGGAUGGCAACGGGAAAGGGUUGGGGUGGGCGGGGGACUCCCGCUUCCCCCGCCCCGUCCUGCUUCCCCCGCGAGGGCACCCGCGGGGUUAAUAAAAAUUUAUUAUAGUUAAAUUUUAAUAAAUAAUCAAGUACUAAAAUAUCAAUACAUCACCAAGUUAUUAUUCAUUGUAAUUUCGCAAUUGAAACUCAUAAAAACAAUCAAACAAAAGUUAUUUGAAUACAAUCUAACAUAAUGAAAUAAAUAUAACUAAAGUAGUUAAGUUUUCACUUUUGGUACAAAUACAAUCACAAUUCAUUAUUGUGUUUUUACUUUUUUUUUUGAGAAAAAAGUGUUACUGUAUUAAGUGUAAUUAGGACAUAUCUUUGAGUAUUCUUCAUAUAACAAAAAAAUCUUUUCUCUCUCGGGUUUCCUGAUUUAGAAAUUUAGGGUUCUCUGGUUCCUCGUGCAUGGCAGCCGCGGCUGCCCCCUCAUCUCAGGGUGGGGGUCUGUCUUCUUCCCCUACGUUCAAGAAGAAGGCGUUUUCUGCUUUGUUCCAAGAUCAGUCGCCGUCGGAGGUGGUGAAGGUCUAGGCGGCUGUCUCCACCCAUCGUGGAGAGCCUGCGGUGGUCUUCAAUGCGGCAGAUAUUGCUGCUGUGGCGUCGCCGUUCCGUUUCACGUUGGUUGGGAAGUUUUCCAAGGGCCGUCCCCUUUUGCCUGAAUUGCGUAAGUUUUUUUCUAUGUUUGAUCUGAAGGACUCAGUGUCUGUUGGUUUAUUAGACGCUAGACAUGUUUUGCUGCGAUUUAAUGGAGAGGCAGAUUUUCUUUGUGUAUGGGCAAGAAAUGUGUGGUAUGUUCAUGGGUGUCCUAUGCGGGUUUUCAAGUGGAGUUCGAAGUUUCAUGUCGAUAGGGAAUCGUCCCUAGUUCCCAUUUGGUUCAAAUUACCCAAGCUUCCUAUCCAUUUGUUUGCCAAGCCUUGUUUGUUUCACAUUGUCUCCUGCCUGGGGAACCCGUUGUUUGUUGAUGCGGCAACAUCGUCUUUUAUUCGUUCGAAUGUGGCGCGGGUGUGUGUGGAGGUGGAUCUACUGAAGUCGCUUCCCUCUAGAGUUUGGGUAGACAUGGGGGAUGGAGAUGGAUUCUGGCAACCAUUGAUCCCUGAGAGCCUUCCAAAGUAUUGCGGUUUUUGCUAUCGUCAUGGGCAUGAGGAGGGCCACUGCCAUGUGAAGUUCCCAGAGAUGCGAGUGUCGAAGGGGCCGACUCAGAAGGUCCUUGGUAGUGCUGUAGAAUUGGAUGAUGGGGGUAAGUUGAUUGCAUCUUCAAAGCCUCCGGUGGGUGCAGGGGAGUCGCUAGAUGCGGCUGAUGGCAGUGGGGCUGCUGUUUUGCCUGGGGUGGAGGAGCCCCCUGUGGCUUUGGAGGGAGCAGUUUCAGGGAUGGGCUCUGAUGCUCCGUUAUUACCUGCGACUGAAGGUGCGGAGCUGGUCACUUUGGCUCAGUCCCAACAACCUGGGCUUGCAGGUGCGGUUGCGCCGCGGGCAUUAGAACGAACAUUAUCAGGCAAGUUGUGCUCGGAUGCCCUGCUGUUGCCUGCGACUGAAGGUGCGAAUGCAGAGCAGAUCUUUUCUGCACAGCUCCAACAGUUCGGGCUUGAACGUACGGUUGUGACGAGGGGUGAGUUAGAAUCGGGUUUGGGAUCAGCUGCUGCACCAGUUUUGACAAUAGAUUUGGGUGUCCUGCCUGCUAAUCCACCGCCGUCCCAGUUUCGGGUGGCGGAGCUGGUGGAGGAGGCAAUUGCUUCCGCUGCUGACAACCUCAUUCACAGGUUGGCUGAUCAAGUAAUCGACAACUCCGAUGAGUCGUCCAUAGGGGCUGACCUGGAAUUGGGGGAGCUUGGGGGAGGUGGUCUUGAGCUAGCGGGUUCAGUGGAGCAGGUCAGGGUGGAGGUGAGGGAGCAGCAGGGGGCUAUGGUCGCUAACCUUAAUCUUUCUCCUCGCAAGGCGGAUGUUAGGGAUGCGGUGCAGACGCGGUUGGAUGCUUUGAAAAACCCGGAGGAGUGGCAUACGGUGGUGAGCCGUCGCAAUAGGAGAAAAUGUGAUUCACCCCCCUUACUUUCUACGACCACGAUCAUGAUUAAGGCUAUGUUUUGGAACGUCAGAGGAGUGGAUAAUGCUCUCACCAUUGCACGUUUAAGGAAGUUGAAGCGGAUGCAUCAGGUUUCUUUGCUAGCGAUGUGCGAACCAAAGGCGGGUCGCGAGCGGCUUGAUUUUAUUCGGAAUAGGCUGGGUUUUCGUCAUGCUAUCUCCAACGAUGAGAGUCGGAUUUGGGUGACGUAUGGGCAAGACUAUAGGUGUGAUUUGUUGGUUGCCUCACAGCAGUUCUUGGCGUUGGAGGUUACACAUGCUGUUUUCCGUUGCUCUGUUGUAGCGGUCUUUGUCCAUGCGUCGUGUGCCUCUCUUGAUAGGGAGGUGAUGUGGCAACAGUUAGGAGAGGUGUGCCCUCAAGGGAUGCCGGCAAUUUUUUUAGGGGAUUUUAACGUCAUUGUCGGGGCGAAUGAAAAGAAAGAGGGUCGCCCAUUUCGUGCUAGGGAGUCGGAGCCUUUCCUGAGUUUCAUGGAGGGUGCUGAGUUAACAGACUUAGGGUUCUUUGGGUCUCAGUUCACCUGGUGCAAUAAUCGUUGGGGCAGAGCCAGGGUUUGGAAACGCCUGGACAGGGUACUCGUUAACCAGGAUUGGUCGAGUUUAGGGGUGAACACGACGGUGGCUCAUUUGAAUAGGGUUGCCUCUGAUCAUUCCCCCUUGUUAUUGUCUUGUUCUUUGGCCAUGGGUGGGGCGCCUAAGAGUUUUCGUUUCUUGGACGUUUGGAGGGCACAUGCUGAUUUUCAUAAUAUAGUUCGUCAAGCGUGGGAGGUGGAGUGUGAUGGGCGGCCCAUUCGGGUUCUACUUGCGAAGUUAAAGGCGGUCAAGCAGGCUUUGCGUACAUGGAAUAAGGAGACAUUUGGCAACAUUUUUGACCGUGUUAAGGAAGAUGAGGCAACAGUGUUGGCACUGGAACGCUCUUUGGAGGAAUGUCCCUCGGGGGAGGGUGAAUUCCAGCUCCUCCGGGCGCAAGGGGCGCCCAAGAUGUCCCUGUUACGGGAGGCCGUUUACUGGCAUCAGAAGGCACGGCUUCGGUGGCUUAGGGAAGGCGAUGCCAAUUCCAAAUUCUUCCAUGCGCAAGUAAAGCAGCGGAGGGCUCGGUCUUUCAUCCAUCGGAUGAAGGAUACGAAUGGGGUAUGGACGGAAGAGCCCUCCAGGAUUGAAGAGUUGGCGACCACUUUCUUUGCGGACAUUUUGUCGCAACCAGGACAUGGGCCGAUGGAUCUUUCGAUGCUAGAGGUUAUACCUUCGGUUAUCACUGUGCAAGAUAACAUGGAGCUUCAGCAGUUUCCGACGGAGGAGGAAGUCAAGGCUGUGGUUUUUCAACUAGAUGGUGGUAGUAGUCCGAGUCCGGAUGGUUUCACAGGAUCAUUCUUCACUUCAUGUUGGGAUAUUGUGAAGGAGGAGGUCUAUCGGGUUGUUUGUGAUUUUUUUGCAGGUGCAGAGCUGUCUUGGGGGUACACUGCUACGUGGUUGGCCCUGAUCCCUAAGACUCCUGGGCCGUCAUCCUUCUCAGACUUUUGCCCUAUCAGCUUGUGUAACUUUGUUAAUAAAAUUACAUCUGGUCUGUUGGCGCGACGUUUGGAGCGUGUUUUGCCAUGACUUAUCUCGCAACAGCAGAGUGGCUUUGUGAAGAGUCGCCAGAUAUCGGAUAACAUACUUUUGGCCUUAGAGAUGUGUUCAGCCUUGGGGAAGAAGGUACGGGGAUCCAAUGUUGUCCUUAAAUUGGACAUGGCCAAGGCAUAUGAUCGGGUAUCGUGGAAUUUCUUGAUCCAGGUCAUGCGUAGGUUUGGGUUUGGGGAGCAAUGGCUGGAUAUGGUUUGGAGGUUAAUUUCUUCGUGCCACUUCUCAGUAUUGGUUAACGGAAAGUCGUGUGGUUUUUUCCAUUCGUCUCGGGGUCUACGGCAAGGGGACCCAUUAUCCCCGGCUUUAUUUAUUAUAGCGGCUGAGGUGUUGUCUAGAAGCUUGAAUGAGUUACCGGGGGAGUCGAGGUUUGCUCCAUUCUUCGUGACGCGGGAAUGCCCUUCUCUCACGCAUCUUAACGGUGGUAAGCGGUCCCUUGGGUGUGUCAUGCGGGUGCUGGAGGGCUAUCAGGGGGUGUCUGGGCAGUUGGUGAAUGUUGCAAAGAGCUGUUUUCUGGUAGAUAGGAGGGUCUCGUUGGUCCGUCGGAGGUUAAUUGAGCAGGUCACUAGGUUCCCUGCUAAGACUUUGCUAGUAACCUAUUUGGGUUGCCCAUUGUUUGGGGGGAGAAGAGUGAGGUCUUUAUUCGCUGAGUUACUCUCCAAAGUAUCUCACCGAAUUUCGUCUUGGCAGGGCCGAUGGUUAUCAAUGAGUGCGCGGGCAUUGCUUAUUAAGCAUGUAUUUUCGUCCAUGCCGAUUCAUAUGCUGGCAGUUUUGGAACCUCCAAGGGGGAUCAUCUCUGACCUCGAGCGGAUGCUUGCUAGAUUCUUUUGGGGCGAAUCGGAAUUUGGUGCCAAACGUCAUUGGGCGAUGUGGGAGAAGCUUUGCUUCCCGGAGGAGGAAAGGGGGGUUGGGUUUCGGUCCCUCCAGGCGGUCGUUGCGACGUUCUCCUGUAAAUUAUGGUGGAUGUUUCGGUGUGGUCAAUCUCUUUGGGCGAAAUUUAUGAGAGCACGAUAUUUUGGGUCUCGACACCCGAAUCAAGCUCCGUUUCCUGCUCAGCUGUCUGCUAGUUGCAAGCGUAUGCUUGGGGUCCGGUCGACGAUGGAGCAAUGGUUAAAGUUGGAUCUUUCUAGGGGAGAGGUGGCUUUUUGAUGGGACAACUGGAGUGGUUUGGGCCCUUUGGCAUGGCGGUAUCCUGAUUUGGCGUCAAAUGCAAUGGUCUCGGAUUUUCUACGGGAGGGUCAAUGGGACUACUUGGCUUUAGCGGGGUUCCCCUCGGAGAUUAUAGAGAUGGUUCAAGGGUCCUUCUUUUGUUUUGGAUCGGACCCGAUGCUUUGGUCUGGAGCUUGGAUCCCUCAGGGGUUUUUCGUUGAGGUCUGCUUAUCAGCUUGUUCGCCCGGCUCGGGCGCGCUCCUGGGUGUGUUCCUAUAUUUGGCAGUCGUCCGUUCCGCGGAAAUUUUCCUUCUUCAUGUGGCGUUUACUAAAUGGCCAUCUGCCAGUGGAUGAUGUGCUGCGGAAAUUCCAGAUUCAUGGUCCUUCUAAGUGUCAUUGUUGCUCGCCGGCCCAAGGUGAAACGUUGCAGCAUGUGUUCUCUACUGGUCAAUUGGCGGGUGUGACGACUUGGAUGUUCUUUGAGCGCUCCUUAGGAGUGUCUGUACGAGGUGUGGCCGUUAGGUCUCGAUGUUCUGAUUGGUGGAUGUCCCCUGUUAAAGGGAAGGCGCUCUGCUGGGUGUCCCGGAUUCUUCCGGUCCUAAUUCUAUGGUUCUUAUGGUGUGCCAGGAAUGCAUCCACGUUUGAGGGGUGCAAGGUUUCUGGGUUUCAGGUUCGGGUUUCUAUCUGUUCCGAAUUGUAAAGGUUAGCUCAAAUCCACUUUCCAGGGAUCGCGCGUUUGCCUUGCCAGUGGGAGGGGUUCCUAGAGGUUUUAUCUUCGGCCAGAAGGGUGUUAGUAGCUAAGGCGGUGAGGUGGACUUUCCCUGUGGAGGGUUCUUUUAAGCUUAACACUGACGGUUGUUCUAUGGUCGGUGGUAGUGGGGGCGGUGGGGUGAUUAGGGAUUCGAGGGGAAAACUCAUUAUUGCUUUUGCGGAUUCUUUUGGCUCUCUGGAUUCCCUGCAAGCUGAGGCUCGGGCUCUCUUGUUAGGGCUUCAGCUGGGGUACAGCUUAGGGAUUUCGCAGAUGUUUGUUGAAUCUGAUUGCUUGGUCUUAGUCAAUUGUCUAAAGGGGGUUUGGGGGGUUCCUGCGGUGAUUUGGCCAGUUGUUCGUGCUGUUCGUCUGGUUACUUCUGCUGGCCAUCAGUUUGGUCAUUGCUACUGGGAGGGGAACAUGGUGGCGGACUCGCUCGCAACGUUUGGGGUGGAGUGUGGCUCUCGAUCUAUUUUCAUGUCAGCGUCUCAGUUGCCCUUGCGCUCCAGGGGGCUUUUAUCUCUGGACAUGCAGAAUUUUUGUAGUUUUCGUUUUUCUCUUAGGAUGUAGGGAUUUGGAUGAUUCCUUGGCAUUGUGUUCUGGUUUAUGAAUAAAACAGGUUUUUUUUUUAUAAAAUAAAAAAAAUAAAAAAAAUAAAUUCUAUUAGUAGACAUAUAUAAUUAUUAGUAUAAUUGAUAAUAUCAAUUAUAUUGCAUAUAUUAAUAUACAUUAUAUAAUACAUAUAACUAAUAAUAUCAUUAUCAUAAGUUUAUAACUAAUUAAAUUAAAUAUUAUAUAUAUAAUUAUAUACAUAUAUAUUUUUUUUUUUUUGCGGGUGGCGGGGCAGAGGUAUAAUUCCCCGCCCCCGUUUCUAAAUGGGGGGAAAAAUUCCCCCCACCCCCGCCCCUGCCCCAACUCCUGCCACAAGAGCCCUCCGCAAGGCGGGUGCCCGCGCAUUGCCAUCCUUAGUAACAACCUUUUCUGUUAUCCAUUCGAUCAAAUUCAAAUGGAAAUGAGAAAAAGGGCAAAACCUUUCAUUAGCCAUUAAUAUGGCCCAAAAAUCUCCUACAUGACUAUAAUACUCUAUUCUGAAUCUAUCUUUUCCUUUUUGACUAUAAUACUCUUUCUGCCUUUACUUGUCACUGUACUAUCCAAAAAAGUCUUGAAUACUUAACAUAAAAUUGACAAUAUUUCCAAAUAUGAGAGCAAAAGUUUUGAAUAAUUAACAUAACCCUGACGAUAUUUCCAAAGAUGAGAGCAAAAUCUAAAAUUUGACCGUUCAUCUCCAUUCCAAUUGCAGUAAUUUUCUCUUUGUAAUGCUUUACUUCUUAUUAAAAAAAAGGAAAAUAAGGAAAAACUCACUACAAAUCUAGGGAAAUUGGAAUUAUACCAACACGAAAGCAAAGUCUAAAAUUUUGAUUGUUCAUCUCCAUUCCAGUUGUGGUGAUUUUCUCUUUUUGAUGCUCUCUUUCCUAUUAAAAAAAAAAAAGAAAAAGCUCACUACAAAUCUAGCAAUAUUGAAAUUAUUAGUAUGUUUGUACAAAACUCUCGAUCACUUGUUCAUUCAAUUAAUUCUUUCCGAAGUUUUAGUUUUGAUUUUGUCAUACUGCAUUGAAUGGGAACUCAUUGUGCAUAUGGCUAUAUGGGGGGAAUAGCAUGUAGGGCUGAGGAAAGGUGUCUCCAUCACUCUGUUCAUUCAAUUAAUUCUUUCCGAAGUUUUAGUUUUGAUUUUAGGUUGGUUCCUAUUAGGGAUAAGGUCAGAAGAUGAGAUUAGUAAUAAAAUUUGGAGUUGAAUCAUUGUAUGAAUAUUUUUUGAAAAAAAAUGGUUAUUUUGGCAAAAAACUCAUUUUUUUAAUUUAUUCUAAUAUCCGACAAAAAAGAAUACUUUUUAAAUCAUGCAUUUUUCCUUAUUUAAUAUAUUUAUUAUAUUUCUUUAUUGAAACAAAAUUUAUACAAUAAAACAAAAGCUUGAACGCACUGAUCCUUUUCAUUCUUUUUUUAUUUGUCAAUAACCAAAUAAAUUUGCAGAAAAAGUUAAAAAAAAGGGUAUUUAAACAAAGAAAUCUACAAUAAGCUGGCAAGAUGUAAUGAAUUUUAUUUAAAAUAUGUAAUUGUAACAUGUCUAAGGUUGUGCCUUACUAUAUUCAAAGUAAUAAAGAGGUAAAAAGCUAAAAAUCAUUAUAGAAACAAGUAGAAAACAUUUUGCAUAUGACAGAGUAGGUGCAUGUUGUGUUACUAUUAAUUGUGAAAGAGUCAUCUAAGGGUGCCAUGGGUACUCGUUAAAAUAUACUUAAGAUGUUCGAAUUUUGAAAAAGUAAAAUUAAUUAAAAAAAGUAUAUAAAUAUAAGAAAUGAUAAUAAAUUUUAGUAUGUGUGUGUAUAUAUAUCUAACUAUAUAAAAGUGGGUGUUGCUUGAAUGAACAAUAAAAAAGUGUCUUGGUUGGUUAUUUGGCCAUUGGUCAAUUUGUUUGCCCUAUUAUGGUCCAUUUGCUCGGUGUCAUGGAUUUGGAGGUAUUGCUUUAGCCUUAGGGGUCCGUUUGUUUAAGGUGAAAAUAUUUUCCAGGAAAAUAUUUUUCUAAUUUCCCGUGUUUGGUUGCACAAAAGUUACUGAAAACAUUUUCUUAUGUAAAAUAUUUUCACUCAUCUUAUGGAAAACAACUUCCCUUCCAAACUUACUGAAGUUGUUUUCCGAAAUGCAUGCAUCUCACCUGUAAUAUGUUCCAAACUUACUGAAAACAUCUUGUAGUAUGUUUUUUUUUUUUUUUAGUGUAAACAGGAAGACUCGAACCCAAGAUCUUUUCCUUACACUCCCUCCCCCGUGCCACCCAACCCAACCCUCCCCCUAGUAUAUUCAAAAUAAAAAAGAAACCUCAUCCUGCUCAUCCUAUGCUAGUAAUUAAUUAUGUAUAAUAGGGACAUUUUUUUCUAGAGAAACUUUCAGCAGUGAGAGUGCAAGAUAUAUGUCACAAUAAGCAUUGCAUGUGAUUGAUAUUUGAUACUAAAUGACCAACAAUUUGUUUAUUGCUUAAGGAGAUAUUUUUUAUUCAUAUAUACAUUUUUCCAAGAUUUUUUAAAGUUAAACAAUGAGAUAAAUUUUCUUAUUUUGCAUGGGAAGAAGUAUGUAGUUAUAAUAUGUAGAAAGUAAAGAUAGAGAUAAAAGUGAAAAUAUUUCAAAAGUUAAACAAACACCAAAAAAAUGAAGUAAGAAAAUAUUUUCAAUAAGCUAACCAAACGCCUGAAAAUGAUGAAAGGGAAAUGAUUUUCAUGGAAAAUUACUUCCACGGAAAAUAUUUUCCCAAGGAAAAUAUUUUAUUUCCAAACAAACAGACCCUGAAAAUGUUUCCUAUUUUCCGCCUAUGUCAUUCAUUUUUGCCUUGAUCCAAGAUCUAUGUUACAAGUUGUUUGGCUGCUUCGUAAUUUACUUCUUCUUUGGCCCUAUUUUUUAUUGUUCUCUUUUGUGGACCGCAAACAUCAGUUUUUGUUUCUAAGCUCCUUUUGUUAGAAGCUUCACUGUUUGACUAAUUGACUCUGACUUACUUUUAUAUUUGCAAUGCUAUAUAUCAUGUGUACCUUUUUUGCCUUGUAUUGUAUUAUGGCAUUGCCUAUUCUCUGGUACUUUUUUUGCCCCUUUCUUUUCCCUUUCACUAAUUGUUUAUGCUUCUGCUUCCCUUCCCCUGGCCAAUCGGUAAUUUUGUUACCCGCUAUUGUGCUACAUUUUCUGUGGAGCGUGGAGCAGGUAAAAUUUUCUGUCUUUUUGUUUGCCACUUACAGUGCCGCCUUUGCCCCUGCAUUAAAUGCUCAUGGUACUUCCAAAAAAAAAAAAAACACAUCCGACUAAACUGCCCGCUUCUUAAUAUUUUUGAUUUGUUUUUGUCAUUUGCAAACUUAUUAGAAAGAUAUGCAGUUAUAGAUUUUUCUUUUUGUUAAUGAUGCUGUUUGUUGAUUUAUUUUUUUUUAUCAAUUUUACCUUUUUAUUUAUUUACUCUUUUGCAGAAUAACAAAUUGCUGUCUCUCUGCUAUUUUAUGUCCCUUAGUAUCUUUUUUCUUUAUACUGCUUUUUGCAGUACUUUGUUUUUUGCUUUUAUUGUUUUCUUUUGUUUCCAAAACUUCUUUCUCAAGUGAGUUGCAUUUCUUUUGCUUAUUCUCAAGAAGUCUAUGUUGUAUAUUAUGCUUAUUUUAUUUGUUGAUAUUUCCCUUCUUUGUUCACUUGUUUGUUCUGGAAAUUUUUCUUAGACCUAGCAUCAAUGAUCCAUUCUUUAGGUCCUCCAUGUGCAUGCUCAUAAUUUUCCUUUUAUAUUUUCUAUAAUUUACUAGUUUCUUUUAUAUUCUUAGAAUUUGUCUUUCUCAUUUUCAAAUUUUUUUUUCAUGUUUUCAAUAUUUUAAUUUUUUAAUUAAUUUCGUAAUUCCAAUAGUUCUUCGAAUGUUUGGUUUAUGAACCACACGCAUAUAUAUAAAAGUAUAUAAAAGGGUGAAUGCUUUGCAUGAAUAGGCAAAUAACUACUUUAGUUGAUUGCUGUAUCUUUGGCUAAUUUAUUUGAAAUUGUACUAACCAAUGACGGUUACAAAAUAUACCAUGUAAUGUAAAUUCUAUGUGGAACAAUGAGUUUCAACUUAUAUAGACAUUUAUAUGUAUUCAUAAAGAAAAUAAAACAAUAUAUAUCCAUAAAAAAAUCCAAAGAAGUUUUGAUGUAAUCAUUGCUACUUUGGCUGGCUAAAGCAAAGAAAAUGUUGUUUCUACCAAAUUUAGAUUAUUUUCUUAGCCCUCUUCUUAGCAUUUGCUCUUGGUAUACCUUGAGCUUUUAGCUUUAUAUUUUAUUACACAAUUAUAAUCAUGAGUAUUUUAAUUAUAUUGUAAAAACACUAUUUUUUUGCCUCUUUUAUACAAUCAUAUCCACCGGUUCAUCUUUAUUCAAGUACAAUUACUAUUUAAAACAAAUAAAAACCUAAUAUAUCCAUCUUACUUUAUAACUAACUAUUAUUUUAUUUGUCCAUUACAGUUUCUCCAAUCAAUGCAUUCUUGAUGCAGUAUGAUGAACCACAAUGAUACAUUGGUAUUCAUUUUAUAAAAUUUCCCUAAUUUACAUCAAUUUUUCUCCAAAACACAUUUAACACGUAUUUAGCUCUUCAUUGCAGGUCAUACCACCAAAAUUUAUACAUUACUUGGAACCACACAUAAGAAGAAGAGCAAUUUUCAAAGUUGGAAACAAAAUAUGGUUUCUAAAACUAGAUGAAAAUCCUCAAAACUCUGGAUGAAAAAUAUUCAUUGACGAUCACAAUCUGCAGCCAAAUUCACUAAUAUAUUUUUCUGCAUUGGAGUGAUGACAUUUAGAGUUCAAAUUUUCAACCCAAAUCACUACACUAGCUUCUACGAAUGGAAUAUCAUCCCUAUUGAAAGCACAUAUGCAAAAGCAAAUGGUAACAUAAUUAAUAAUAAAAUAUAUCCACAGAGUUCACCAAUACAACUUCCUAUUUAUUUAUUUAUUUAACAAUUGCAGGCAUUUUUUCUGCAAGAGAAAGUUUCCUCAUAAAGCUCACAUUUUAUGUAGUCAUCAAGCCCACGGACAUGGAAAUUUUAGUAAGCCAAAUUUUUUUAAACACAUAUUAACCCAAAGCCAUACAAAAAAAUUGCACAUAAAUUUACUUUAGCCAUAAGAUACUGCAAAUAUAUUGCCAAACAAAAACAAUAUAAUCAUCUUCUAUUACCAAUACAAAUGUUGGAACAUCAAAGUUGAAGAUAAAUUUUUAACCUAUGAAUAGAAAAAAAUGCUAUGAUACCAUAUUAUUUGACCAUGCUAUACUCUCAUAAUUACCCACUUAGGCAUAAAUGAAUAUUGAAUGCACAGAUUCGAUAAUGAACUUGUAAAAGUUGCUCCAACAUAAAAUAACUAUAAAGUUAUGCCUUUCAACCUUUAAUACUAUUCCCAUAUUCUCCAAUUUCAUAACUAUACAUACACUACUAUAUUUUUACUUCAACAUUAAAUCACAUUCUAUAUGAUAACCUACCAACAAUUCUUUCCAAUUACCCUCAUUCAAUAAAAACUAACUACCUCGCAAUUAUUUUACAUAUUGUAAAAUAUUUUUCUGCAUCAAUUCAUACAUCACAUUACACAAAAAAAAAAAAAAAAAAAUCAGCACACAAAUGCACUAUUAACACGGGUCAGGAAUUGCGCAGGGCCCCCUGACUAGUAUAUAUAUAAUAUAGUAGGCUGAAUGAAAUUUAGGCGUGUUAGUUGGGUAUCCAUUAGAAAAACCCAUUGUAAAAUGACAAUUAUGACUCUUGAUUGAACAUUUGUUGUUGGAAUAUGUUUUACAUAGCUAACUUCAUUUGUUUGGGCAACUACACGCUCGAAACAAAAUGUAAUGUGCCUUUAAGAUUCUUUUCUAUUGCUGAAGUUAGUGUGGAAAAUGAAAAGAAAUAUUAUUGUAAGUUAAGAAAAUAUCAUGAUUGACGUAACAUUUUUCUAAUGUGAAAGUAGAAUGAAAGGAAGAAAUAUUCAAUAAAUAAGAUAAUAGCCAUUAACUUCGUCCCACAUUGCCUUAAUAUUUUGAAAGCUACAGAACAACCUAUACAAAGUUUAGAGUUUUUAUUUUUAUUUUUAUUUUUUGGUCAAUCGUCAUCCCUACCCCUACUCUAUCCUAAUCUAACUAAGGGGAGGCCCAACUAGGCUUAUGGGGACCAAUGGGGACAGAACCAUUGCCCCCUUUGAAACUAUUGGAAUUUUUUACAGUUACCUUCUCCAUUUCUACAAUGAAACCUUGAAAGAAAGUAUAAUAAUAGUACUAUUUGUAAGUCCUUUCUAAUUAACCUUAUUUUGCUUAAUAUUGAACUCCACUUAUGUGUCUAAGCAUAUAAAUUACAAGCAAAUUGAAAAUCAUUGGAUCGUUUGGCCAAAUACACAUUAAUUAUCUAUUGUAUAUAUGAAUGUACAUCUCAUAGAUUUAUGCAUAAUAUUAACUAUUGUAUAAUUUUAUACCAUUAGAUGACCCGAUAACUAUUAAAUGCAUAAUAAAUGACAACCUAUACACCAUUCUUAUUUUAUUUUGGCAAUAUUGAAUAAAUUGCUUCAUGUCUAUUAACCUUAUGAGAAACAUUUAGUUGAGCUAAAAGUUCACAAACCACAAGUUGUAAAUUUAAUAUAAAUUAUUGUAUCCUAUGACCGAAGAUCCUGGCUUAGCCACCGCCCCUAGAGGAAUGUUAUUUUAUAAAAAUAAAAUUCUACCCCAACCUUUAUAUGGUGGAAUCUUUCAAAGAGGUAAACUGUGAAUUUUUUUUAUUCAUAGAGGCAAAGUGCAAUUUUUUUUAUGCUCUUUGAUUUUAGAAUCUUUGCUCAUGCCACUCAUGGUCUCUCAUCCUUUAGGUUUUGGACUAUUCCCAAUGGAGUUAAAUAAAAAAAAAUUCAAUAACCUAGCUGACUAUAUAUAAAUGUCACUAACCACUAAGCUAUACUCGUUAGUCGUUAAGAGUUUAUUUUUUCAUAACAAGUGAAGUUAAAACAUCUAAAUAUAGGGGAUAAAAUAUAUGUCAAUGUCUGCAAUAAUUAUGUGAAUCCUAGUUUUAUUUAGCAAUGGUUGUUGACUUUGCAGUACCAUUCCACACUUUGCAGGAAUCUAAAUAUUUUGGAUGUUUGAAGAAAGUUAAGCUGAAAGCUCCAAAACCAUUGGAUGGUCAAAUGUUGAAAUCACAAGUACGUUAAAAAUAAUUCUGGAUCUCUGACUUUAGCCAUUCCACUGUAGAAUGAUGUUCACAUUUAAAAGCAGAGGUUUGUAUAGCAAAGUAAACAUUCAUCUAUGCAAGCAUAGCUCAAAAUUCCAUAGCAGAAUAAAAUUCUUAUAUCAGUUCCUACACUUCAAAGAUGAAGAAGACAAAGGUUGUUUUUGUUCCAUCACCAGGCAUAGGUCACCUAAUAUCCACAGUUGAGCUCUCCAAGCGCUUAACUGAAAGAGAUGAUCAGCUAUCAAUAUUUGUUCUGGUCAUAAGCUCACCUGUUGGCCCAGACUUGGAGUCCUACACUCAACAAGUGGCUGCUUCAAACACUGGUAUUCAAUUCAUCAACAUUCCUCGAGUAGAUCCGAAUCUACCACAGGUCUGGAGCUCCCCAGAAAACCUUUAUGCUCUCUAUUUGGAAAGCCAUAAAUCCCAUGUCAAAACAGCAAUAAUUGAUCAAGUACUAGUAUCAGAAUCCAUCACUUCUCUUGCCGGGAUAGUUGUUGAUCUAUUCUGUAGUUCGAUGGUUGAUGUAGCGAAUGAGCUUGGAGUUCCUUCAUAUGUGUUCUUCCCCUCUGGCUGUGCCUAUCUUGGCUUCAUGUUUUAUCUUCCAAUUCACUAUAGCCAAUAUGGAAGAGAGUUCGAGACUUCAGAUUCUGAUUCAAUUAUUCCAACUUAUUCUCACCCUAUACCUUCAAAGGUUAUACCUUCUUAUGCAUUUAACAAGCAUGGUGGCUAUUCCUCAUUCGUAAAACAUGCUACCAAGUUCAAGGAGACAAAAGGACUCAUCAUAAACACGUUUGCAGAAUUAGAACCUCAUGCUGUGGAUCAAUUGAAAUUCGAUGCUGAAACACCGCCAAUCUACACGGUUGGACCCCUGCUCGACCUGGAGGGCAGAAAGCGAGAGCCUGAUCACGAAAAAAUAAUAAAAUGGCUAGAUGAUCAGCCUCCAUCAUCAGUUAUAUUUCUCUGUUUUGGAAGCAUGGGUACUUUUGAGCCUGACCAGUUAGCAGAAAUGGCACUUGCACUCGAGCGGAGUGGAUACAGAUUCUUGUGGUCAGUCCGGUUAUCAAAGGCCUAUACAAAAGGGACAGGUGAACAUUCCAAUAUUUCUGAGAUGUUGCCGCAAGGUUUCUUAGAACGCGUCGAAAAUCGAGGAUUGGUGAGUAGUUGGGCACCACAAAUGGAGGUGCUGGCUCAUGAAGCAGUUGGGGGAUUUGUAUCUCAUUGUGGCUGGAACUCUAUACUAGAAAGCCUGUGGCAUGGGGUGCCUGUUGCAACAUGGCCUGUAUAUGCUGAGCAACAAAUCAAUGCGUUCGAGUUGGUAAGAGAAUUGGAACUGGCUAUGGACUUGAAAAUGGAUUAUCGAAUGGAAAAUGCACAGAAUCUUGUAGUGGCUGAGGAAAUCGAGAAAGCUAUCAGAUGCUUGAUGGACACAGAGAAUCCGACAAGAAAAAGAGUUCAAGAAAUGAAGGAGAUGAGCAGAAAGGCCAUUGAAAAUGGGGGUUCUUCAUUCAUUUCACUUGGACGUUUGAUUGAAGAUAUACACAUCAACAUUGGAAAAGAUAAGGGAAGUUUCUAAGUUUUUUCAGUUCUUAUUGUCACUUGAUCAUCAAUCAACAGAUGAAGGGAAGUUUCUUCAACUUCCUUUCUUUUUGCUUUAUUGGUUUAAUAUUAGUUCUUUCUCAAUCCAUCUAAUUGGGACCACGGCCAGGAACGGUUGUACCUCGGUUUUAUGCAUUUUGCACAUCGCAUAAUUUUGUUUGCACACGGCGUAACAUUUUUUGCACAACGUAUAAUUUUAUAAUAAUUUUUUAUUAGCCCCACACACGUUGUUAAAAACGAGAUAUAAGAAAUGAACUAGAUCGUACAAUUUUUUUGGACCAAAUCUUGACCGUGAACAGCUAUGACCGCUCCUGCCUCUCAUUCAUCUAAUUGUCACAUUUGUGUGGUAAACACAAAUUAGUAUUGUUUUUCAUCCUUUAUGUGGUCAUACUUAUGCUUUCAAAUCUAUUUUUGCUUUUGUAAACCUUUCCAGUUAAAUACUUUUCAUUUUUCAUUUUUCAUUUUUUCCGCUAAAUAUUAUAAACUUGGUGGUUCAUAUGUCUCUUCUAAGAUUUGUAAGUAAAAUUUUCUCCAUAAUUAUCUUUUUGAUUUCAUAUGGUGAUCAUUAUGCUGUUACUCUCAAUUGGAAUGAAAAUUGAGAUUGUCCCGAAGCUUGUAGUUCACUUGUUAUACAUCUUAUGUUUACUACUUAUUUCGUAUAUAUAAAAUCAAUACUAUACAUUUGUUAUACAUCUUAAGUUUGAUUUCCUAUCAACCCGGUUUCGAACCUCUUGUGGAACAUUCAUUGUCAUAUAAGAUUUCUCCAGUGCAUCUUACCCUUCUGUGUGGUUGGCGGGUUAUUAUAUGAGAUGAAAUUUAUCUAAUGCGUACUCUCAAAUAGUAAUUGCCGUGGUAAAAAAAAAAAAAAAAAAAAACUCUACACUGGGCCUCACACAUCAAAGUUUUAAAAAAUUGGCCUAGGUCAUGGUCAAGAACUUUCCCACAUUGCGCCUUCUUCCCAGUUCCCAGAGUCGUGUCAAAUAAAAAAAGAAAUGAGAGUCGUGUCAAGUUUUUUCUCUUUUACUUUUUGAUACGAGUCAUGUCACGAGUGAAAGUUCUUCAAUGAAUUAAUUAUUGAAUCUAAUAUGACUAGAUCUAAGUUUGGCCGCCAGUCACUGGCAAUGUCCAAUAAUAAAAAAUGAACUUCAAGAUGACUUUCUUUCCCCGAUUGAGAACUUUGAGGAACAAUUUAAAAUUCAUUCAAAUCGUUCUAAUUAUUUAAAUUACUUAAUAGACAUUUAAAUUUAUAAUAUAUCAACUAUUAAAAUUUAUUUUAAAUAUUAGAAUAAUUUAUAAUUUAUAAAUUUAAAUAUCUCCUAAAUAAUAUUAAACAACUAGAGAAAUUUAAAAGGAUCUCAAAUUUUUUGACAAAUCCCUCAAUCAAAAAAAUAGUUCGAUAGUUUCGACACUCUUCAACACAUAUACAUAAAGAUCGACUCAGAGACUACAAUAUGUGUUUAUAAAAAGGUGAGUUAAAAAAUGUAUUUAUAAUCAAGCAAAAUAUUAUUUGAAAAAAUUUGCUUUUUAAACACCGACUUUGAAAAAUUUGCUGUAUGUAAGAUGGUUGGGAAUAUAAAAAAGUGAGUUGAAAAAUGUGCUUAUAAUCAAGCAAAAUAUUAUUUGAAAAAAUUUGCUUUUUAAACACUAACUUUGAAUAUAUUUGACAUUAGCAAAGCUUUUUUAUUAAAAAAAAUCGAGAAAUAGUCAAUCAAAGUGUUUGGUAAUCAUGAAGAUGUGAAAUAGGUCACCACUAAUGAAAUGAAGUAGGGUUAUCUAGCCGAAAAUCGUGUUGACCAAAAAAACAAAAACAGCUAUUUAGAAUUUUAUUUAUUUUAGAAGUUGAUUUUUUAUUUAAUAAAUAGAUUAGAAUUGAUGUUAAAGUUGGUUUAGAAAAUAAGUUGAGUUGUGUUUAGAUAUUAGUAUUGGAAUAAGUUAUAUGGCUUUUUUAUCUAUUCAAGGACUUGAAAUCCUAAGUUUGUAUUUGAGGAAAAAAAUCAAUUCGUUGAAUAAAUUAUUGAUCCUUUCGAGCCUUCCUUAUUCUUGAUAUUUUGAAAUGUUCUGCCGUUUGAAGCUUUUUCUUCAUUUAUUGUUUGGAUAGAGUAUUAUUUGAAAUAAUUAUUAUAGUAUGUUUUGUGAUUUGAUGUACGUAAGAUAGUUGGGAAUAUAAAAAAGUGAGUUAAAAAAUGUGUUUAUGAUACAAGUAAAAUAUUAUUUGAAAAAAUUUGCUAUCCAAACACUGACUUUGAAAAAAUUUGACAUUAGCAAAGCAUUUUUAUAUAAAAAAAAAAUCAAGAAAUAGUCAAUCAAAGUGUUUGGUAAUCACGAUGAUGUGAAAUAGAUCACCACUAAUGAAAUGAGGUAGGGUUAUCUCGCCGAAAAUUGUGUUGACCAAAAAAAAACAAUUAUUUAGAAUUUCAGUUAUUUUAGAAGUUGAUUUUUUAUUUAAUAAAUAGAUUAGAAUUGGUGUUAAAGUUGGUUUGGAACAUAUAGUUGAGUUGUGUUUAGAUAUUAGUAUUGGAAUAAGUUACAUGGCUUUAUUUAUCUAUUUAAGGACUUGAAAUCCUGACUUGAAAUCCUAAGUUUUUAUUUGAGGAAGAAAAAUCAAUUUGUUGAAUAAAUUAUUGAUCCUUCUGAGCCUUUCUUAUUCUUGAUAUUUUGAUAUGUUCUGCCAUUUGAAGCUUUUGCUUCAUUUAUUGUUUGGAUAGAGUAUUAUUUGAAAUAAUCAAUAUAAUACUUUUUGUGAUGUGAUGUAUGUAAGAUAGUUGAGAAUAUAAAAGAUGAGUUGGAAAAUGUGUUUAUGAUACAAGUAAAAUAUUAUUUAGAAAAAUUUGCUAUCCAAACACUGACUUUGAAAAUAUUUGACAUUAGCAAAGCUUUUUUGAAAAAAAUCCAGAAAUAGUCAAUCAAAGUGUUUGGUAAUCAUGAAAAUGUGAAAUAGGUCACCACUAAUGAAAUGAAGUAGGGUUAUCUAGCCGAAAAUGAUGUUGAUAAAAAAAAAACAGCUAUUUAGAAUUUUAGUUAUUUUAGAAGUUGAUUUUUUAUUUGAUAAUUAGAUUAGAAUUGAUGUUAAAGUUGGCUUAGAAAAUAUACUUGUUUGUGUUUAGAUAUUAGUUUUGGAAUAAGUUACAUGGCUUUAUUUAUCUAUUUAAGGACUUGAAAUCCUAAGUUUGUAUUAGAGGGAAAAAAAAAAUCAAUUCGUUGAAUAAAUUAUUGAUCCUUCCGAGCCUUCCUUAUUCUUGAUAUUUUGAUAUGUUCUGCCGUUUGAAGCUUUUCCUUCAUUUAUUGUGACUAAUCAAAGUCAACCAAAGUCCACGGAACCUUGCAGCACACGAAGGCAUACGUCUAGUUCAUAUUUGGAUGCCUUGUUUCUUGAUAUGAGAAUUAUAAUACUUCCGCUACAUUUUUUUUUUUUUUUUGCGCUAACAAGUGGCACCAAAACCCUUGAUUUAAGAGUUUGAUUCUAAGAUAUUUUUGGAACUUGAAGGGUGUGUAAAAUUUAUGAUAGAAGACCAUGAACCAUAGAAGUGUAUAGAAACUGUGGUAAAGUAUUCGUGUAUUGAAAAAUUGGACCACAAAAGUUUGAUCUUAGGGUACUCGUUCGUUAAUUAAUAAUAAGGAAAAAAAGUUACCUAAUUGAACAAAAAUCUAAAAAGAGGGAAAACUGUUGAAAUUGUUGGUGUUGAUAGUGAGUGAUAAGAAAUUAUUGUGUCGUGUAAUGAUCAAUAAAGAAAGUCCUGCCAACUUGUUAUAGUUGAUUCCACAGUGGAGUUUGAUCGAGACUAAGUCAAGGAAGCCAACAAAUUCAAACAACGAAGCAAAAAAUACUUGUGAAGGUAGGUAAAAUAUUUUGAGUUGCAAUGGAGAGAGAAUUUGUCAAUGGUGAAAAAUUAACAAUUUUGUACACACUGAGUACUAUUGAAGAAAGAUUAGAAUGGGAUGAAAUAAUGAAAAAAUAUCUCAAAAGGUGUUGUUUGGGUAAUAUUCUUGAACUAAAUCUUUUCAAUGGUUUGUCUUAAAGAAGAUAAGAAAAAAAAAAAGACAAAUUUUUUUCCCAGGAUUUUGCAGAAAUCCAUGGUUGAAGAAUGUUAUGCGAGACUCUUAAUUGAUUCUCAAUCACCUUGAAUAUCUUUGGUCAGAUCUCUGCUAUAUUUUGACCGAACUUGAUUAUGAAUUUGUUCAUAAGUCAAACUUGAUUUGACAUGAAAAAUUAAUUAGGAAGAAGAUGUGUUUUUUGAUGAUGAAAAAAGUACUUGUAUAAUUUUUGAUAUAGUUGAAAAUCUUGAUCUGCAUACAUUAUUUGGGAUGAUUGAUGAAGAAGAAAUUGUAAGUGAUUGCAUUAACUUGGUUGUGGAUGAAAAUGUAAUAGAAAUUGCUGGUGAUUAUGGAAUGGAUGAAUCCAUUAGCAAUCAUGGAAUUAGAAAUUAUUUGCGAAAGGAAAGGAGGAAAGGAAUGAAUUAUUGUCAAAAAUUCUGUGGAAGAUUAUUAUGGAUAUGGAGGCACUAAUGGUGAAUGGGUCAACAUGGAUGAAUUUUUGGGUCAAGUUGGAUCAGUAGCCGAAUUGUGUGCAAAGUAGGGCUGCAAACGAGUCGAGUCGAGUCGAGUUUUGAGCUAAUCAAGCCGAGUCUCGACUAAAUUUUAUCAAGCUCGAGCUCGACGAGCCGACAAUUUUCGAGCUCGAGCUCGACUUGAUUCAAGUCGAGCCGAGUUAAAGCUCGAAAAAAAUAAAAAAUAAAUAUAUUUUUUUAAAAAAAUAAAUUAAAUAAUAUGUUUUUUGAAUAAAUAAUAAAAUAUUAAGAAUAUAUACGUAAUUUUACUAUGAAAAUAAAAAAUAAAAAAAUAUAUAUAUAAUAUACGUAAUUUUAUUAUUAAAUAAAAAUAAAAAUAAAAAAAAUAUAUAUAUAUACUCAAGCUCGCGAGCUUAAUAUUCUUAGCUCGAGUUUGACUCGAGCCGGCUCGAGCUCGACUCGAACCCUCGCGAGCAGCUCGAUUCGUUUGCAGCCCUAAUGCAAAGUAUGCCUAACACCCCUUGGUGAAAAUGAAGAUAAAGAUUAAAUUGGAGUUGUACUUGAAUUAUACUAAUAUAGUGGCUGCAAUAACAAUUGAAACUCAUGAUAGCAUUGGAGAAUAAAACAUUAAGAGUUUGGUUUAAAAAAAGUAAUAUUGACAAAAAAAAACAAGCUAAUUAGAAUUUUAAUUAUUUUAGAAGUUGAUUUUUUAUUUGGUAAUUAGAUUAGAAUUGAUAUUAAAGUUGGUUUAAAAAAUACAGUUGAGUUAUGCUUAGGUAUUAGUAUUGGAAUAGGUUAUAUGGGUUUAUUUGUCUAUUUAAGAACUUGAAAUCCUGAGUUUGUAUUUAAGUAAAAAAAAAAUCAAUUCAUUGAAUAAAUCAUUUAUUUUUUUUUUAUAAGAAAACAAACAGAAAAAUUUUAUUCCUGAAAUUGCUGUAAAUCGUCCAACACGAUUUGCUUAACAAAAUUUGGAGGAGCAUUCCAAAGAGAUUUAUAAGGGUUGGCAUUCUUUGCUCGAUUGGCUAAGAUAUGCGCAACCUUGUUUGCCUCAAUUGGAAUCCAUUUGACAUCAAUACAAAGUUGAUCUAGUAAGGCUAAGUAUAUAUCCUCAAGAAUCAGGCCUAAGUCAGACAGGAUGUUUUCCUUAUGAAGAAUGAGUUUAAUAAUUGAAGCUGCAUCUCCCUCCAAAAUAAAGCUUGGGAUCAUUAGAUUUCUUGCCAAGUAGACCACUUCCCUAGCAACAUGGGCUUCCGCUAUUUCUACACUCACCGAACCAACGAAUUUCUUUGCAAGGCCAGCCAUAAAAGAGCCUUCAUGGUCUCGGACCACUACCCCAAUGCCAAAGAUUGUUUGAGCUGUGGAUAUGGCAGCAUCAAAAUUAAUUUUAAAAUGGAGGGAAGGCGGGGCUGACCAUCUCAAUCGAGCAGUCUGGGGUGGAGUCAUAAUAGGACGCGUAUUGGCCUCAUGAAAUUCGCUAAGACUGUGUGCUGCCAAGUUGACUAAGGACAGCGGAUGCCGAAUUUUGCCAUUGAACAAAGCAUAAUUCCUGUUGUUCUAGAGUGUGUAGCACAACAUUGCAAAAUCACAUUCAGCCCCGGUCAGUGAGCGAAUAAUUUCUCUAUACCAAAGCUCAAAACUGGAGUGAUGGCAACUGUGAAUUUUUCGUUCCAGGAAGACAAGUGCCCAAACUUGCACCGCCACCGGGCAGUGGAAGAAAAUGUGGGAUAGGUUGCCACAGCUCCCUUCGCAAACAGCACUAGUGAGAUCCGAUAUGAUUCCGCGCUUCAUGAGAUUAUCGUUUGAUGGUAAAGAGUUGUGACAAGCUCUCCAGACGAGGUGCUUGGCUUUGUUGGGGAUAUUGAGAGCCCAAAUCUUCUCCCAAACCUUGUCAUUAUUAGAACUACUGAACUAGUGCUAGUAAAUCAUUUAUUAUUCUUGAUAUUUUGAUGUGUUCUGUCGUUUGAAGCUUUUGCUUCAUCUAUUGUGACUAAUCAAAGUCUACCAAAGUCCACGGAAGUUUACGAUAUACGUAGCCGGGCGACUAGUUCAUCUUUGGAUGUCUUGUUUCCUGGUAUGAAAAUUAUAAUACUUCCACUGCAUGUUUUUUUUUUGCGCUAACAAAUCAGCCAGAAAAGCUGUAACAUUGACUAGUUAUUUGUAGGAGAAUAUUUGGAAAAAACUUUUAGAAUAACAUUGUAACAUUUUUUGAAUUUGAUGUAUGUAAAAUAAAAAGAUAAUUAAAAAAAAAAUUUAAAAAUUGAAAAUCGUAUUUAUGAUGCAAGUAAAAUUUGUUUUUACAAAUAACAUCAUAACCAUGCAAAGUAUAAUUGUUUCUCUGCGCGUUUUUGCAUUUGCCUCGAUGAUGCAAAUAUUUAUCAUUUGUACCUUUUUUAGGUGGUAAAUUAAUUAAAUUCUGUCUUGAUAAACUUUUAGGGGAUUGCUACAACUCAAUUAUACUUAUUAUGGACAGGACCAAAACAAGAAAUUGUUCAUGAAAUGCUACUGCUUGGAAAUAGUGGGCAGGAUUUGAACUUUGAUCCAUACUUACACCCACUAAAUUUUUUAAUAUCCAAACCCAGACUAACUCAUGGGUUUGAAAAAGAAAAUCCACACCUAAAUCCUCAUAGAUUUUGGUACUCAGAUAUGCACAUGCGAAUAGCUCUUAAUGUGUAAUGAAAAAAUUGAGUUUAGAAACAAUUAAAAAAAACUCUUUAAAAAAAAGAAACUAUUAAAAACUUAUGAAAUUUAAAAAAUAAUAGAAAUACAAUCCAAUUACCAUUUUCAAAUUACAAAUUCAAAGCUCAAGAUUGCUGCAUGCAAUAGUUAUGAAUCCACUUGUAAAAAACGACUUGAAAUCAUGACAUUUUAAAACAAUAAAUACAAACAUGAAAUCCCUGAAAUAAAAAAGGUGGGUCAUCUUUUAGUUUAUUUCUAUCACUUAAGUUGUAUUUAGGUCUAAAUUUGGGUAGGGUCUGGAUCUAUGUCUAAAUUUAGGUAUGGAUUAUACAAAAUUAGAUUUUACCCAAAUCCAUAAUUCUUUUGCAAGGUCUGAAUUUGAGUAAGAUAUAAAUUUCAAUAUGUGGAUCCAAAUUUUGAGAAAAAGACAAUAAAUUUGGGCUUAAUCUAAGUAAUAUCUGACCUAUUGACAUACCUAUUGCCACUGUGUCCUCAUGUACCAUUCUUAAGUUAUGUUGAUCAAAGAAUUCAACAAGUUUUCAUCAAUCAACGUCACUAUACUGUCUGGGGUAUGGAUCAAACCCACGUUUGAAUUGAAAUUAUGAUAGGUUCAUAUCUGAAAGAGGUUGACAAAAAUCAAUGCCUUUUAUUGCAUUACAUCAAAAGCAGAAUGAAAACAUUUGAAAAAGUAUCGUGGUCUCUAAUCCUGACCAAAUUCUAGCUAAUUAGGGAUCUAUUAGCCCCUUAGGGCGCGGUCUAGACGGAACGCGCGCGGCCGUGGCCAAGUUCGGCCAAGCCAUGGCCUAGGUGGGAGGCCGAGGGUGAAGCUUGUUGGAAACGAGUGGACCCAUGUGUGAUGAUGUUUUCCUAGCCUAAGUAUGGGUUGGGGAAAGUUCCAGGGGCAUCAGGUGCCUCUGGGUUAGUUGGGGACAGAGGGGUGCCUCUACUAAUGGUUGGAAGUUUUCCCUUAAGACACCUAUAUAGAGGGAUAACUGUAACUAAGCCAAGUCAAGGCCAAGGGCCGUGGGCCAAGGCCACGGAUUGACUAUGGCUCGGUGGGAUGUUUGGGUGGUUCCAAGGGUUAGGAACCACGGUGCCUAAGAUUGCUAAGUGUUAGGGCAAGAUGGGCACGGAACGUGCGAUGGCGGGAAACGGGGCGCGCGGAAUUGCUGGACGGUUGCUGGUGCGCGCCAAAGAAGAACGUUGGGCAGUUACCAACCGUUGAGGGCGGUUGCUGGGAGUUGUUGGCGGUUACCAGCAACUCAGCCUUGUUCCUAGCCGGUUCCUUAUUUCGUGGACGUUCAGUUAAGACCAGCGGUUGGGUCUUUUGUCAACCAUAACAUGCCUAUAAAUAUUGGGCUAGGCAGAGACUAAAGGGCAGAGAGUCUCAGAUAGUGAGAAUCACCCUUAGAUGUUCUGCACGCCAAGUGUUUGUAGAAAUUCCUUGUAAGCGUUAUAGUGCAAUACAGGGUUGGCCGUGUUGGCUGUAACUUGUGCGUGUGAUCCUUUACUUUGCCUAAGUGUUUUGUGUUCUAAAUACUUGUGGGAAAGUGUGUGUCGCGUAGGCUGACUGGUAGAGGGACUUACCAGUGCCAUCACGUGGUUGGUUUAAUUGAGGGAGUUAAACACCUUCGUGACAGCGUGGUAUCAGAGCACGGCUCUGAUCCAUUUAGACCGUGCUUUUAUUGUGUUUGUUUUGUAGGGAAUGAUGGUUGGACACGGAAACACUGUCCAAGAGCGGUUGCAACGCCAGGAAUCCGCGUUCGAGGACUUGAUGCAGCGUCUGGGAGACGUUCCAGAGGGUUUCAAUGUUAUGGACGCUUUGUUGCAGACCCGAGAAACGAUCAACGCCCUGACCGUGCAGAUGGAGGAAACCCGGGCUAAGGUAUCUUCUGUUGGGGAUGUUGAAUCGUUGAGGAAUGAAGUGGCUUCGUCCCGUGCUGAGAUCACGACUUUGCAGUCGGAGAUCGGUGUGUUGAAGAAGGCGGUUGGCUCUUCCAACACACAGACCGUUCAGAAAUCUUCGAGAGGGAAAGUGAAGGUCCCGGAGCCGAAACCGUAUCAGGGGAGUCGGAGUUCGAAGGAUCUGGAGAACUUCUUGUGGGAUGUCGAACAGUACUUCAAGGCUGUUGACGUUCCAGAGGUAGAGAAGGUGUCCAUUGCAUCCAUGUACCUUAGUGGGGAUGCAAAAUUAUGGUGGAGAACGAUGCAAUCAGACCCCACCAAACCCAAGAUUGAGACUUGGGAUAUGCUGAAGGAGGAAUUGAAGAAGCAAUUCCUUCCCACGAAUGCGUCGUGGAAAGUUCGGGACGCGUUGUGGAACUUGAAGCAGAACAAGAGCGUUCAUGAAUAUGUUGCUGAGUUCCAGGCCCUGAUGUUGGAUGUGAAGGAGAUGUCUGAGGAAGACAGACUCUACACCUUCAUCCGUGGACUGCAGCCGUGGGCGCAGACGGAGUUGCGGAGACAGAAUGUUCAGACCGUGUCUCAAGCACUCGCUGCCACAGAGAAGUUGAUAGACUUCAGGUCCACGGGAUCCAACGACAAGAAGAAAGAGAAGGGCAAGGAUCAGAAAGGUGGACCGUUCGCGAAGAAGAAGAAAAAGAAGCAAUCGGUGGCCACAAAUGAUGCCGGUGGUGCUACUUCUUCUAAGGAAAAGCAGGCACCGAAACCGAAAAAGGAUGGCUGCUUUAAUUGCGGAGGACCACACUUGGCCCGCAAUUGUCCCAACAAAAAGAAGGACCAGAACGUUAGUGCCUUGGUUGCUGAAGAUGAUGGCUACCAGUACGAGACGCAGGACGCACGGGUCAACCCCAUGCAGUUCGUGAAUGCCAUCACAGGUACUAAUGGUCGUUCUACUUGUAAUGGUUUGAUGUAUGUGCAGGUUACGUUGAAUGGUAACCAGAUACUGGCGAUGGUGGAUACGGGAGCAUCGCACAGUUGCGUGACGGAACGUGUGGUUAAGCAGUUCCGGUUGAAGUUGAAGGACUUAGGCUUCAAGUUGAAGGCAGUCAACUCUGAAGCUAAGCCAGUGUUGGGCGUGGCAACGGUGGAAUUGGAGUUGGGGCCGUGGAAGGGAUGGUGUGGCCAGUCAGAUGGAUGACUUUGACUUGAUCCUUGGCAAGGACUUCAUGGUUGCCAAUCGGAUCUAUCCCAUUCCAUACUUGGAUGGCGUCAUGGUGGACGACGACCAGAAUCCAGGCUUUGUUGCUGCGGUAAGGUUGCCGAAACAGAAGGGCAACCUGCGAAAUAACAUGGUGUCGGCUGUACAGAUCGAGUCCAGCCUUAGGCGCGGCGAGGUGAUGUAUAUUGCUACGUUGGUAGAGAUGAAACCCGACAUGUACCAGGAGGUACCCGAUGCCGUGGUUCAUGUAUUGGAGGAGUUUGCAGAUUUGAUGCCUGCAGAGUUGCCAAGACGGCUGCCUCCUAGACGUGCUGUGGAGCACAGAAUUGAGUUGGUGCCAGGAGCACAACCCCCUGCCCAGGCUCCUUAUCGCAUGUCCCCAAUGGAGUUGGCGGAACUGCGACGCCAACUGAACGAGUUGCUAGAAGGCCAGGCGCUGAGGCCGUCGAAGGCUCCGUACGGUGCCCCAGCGCUGUUCCAGAAGAAGGCAGAUGGAACACUUAGAUUUUGCGUGGAUUAUUGUGCCCUGAACAAGAUCACGAUCAGGAACAUGUACCCGAUCCCAAACACCUUCGACUUGUUCGAUAGGCUGGCAAGGGGCCGAUUUUUCACCAAAAUUGACUUGCGGUCGGGAUACUGGCAAGUCCGGAUAGCCCCAGGAGAUGAGAAGAAAACGACGGUGGUGACAAGGUAUGGUUCCUUUGAAUUUCUUGUCAUGCCGUUCGACUUGACGAAUGCACCUGCUACGUUUUGUAGGCUGAUGAACGAUGUCUUGUAUGAAUACCUUGACAAGUUUGUUGUAGUGUAUUUAGAUGACAUUAUUGUGUAUUCGGAGUCCCUAGAAAAGCAUGUAGGGCACUUGAGAGACGUAUUCCGCAAGUUGAGGGAAUACGAGCUCUAUGUAAAGAAGGAAAAGUGUGAGUUCGGCAGGGAGCAAAUCACUUUUCUUGGCCAUGUGGUGAGCAAUGGCCGGAUCCAGAUGGAUUGCAAGAAGGUCGAGGCGAUUCUCGACUGGCCCGCACCCCAGAAGGUCGCUGAACUAAGGUCAUUUCUUGGGUUGGCAAACUAUUACCGGCGCUUUAUCCAGGGAUACUCGAGAAUUGUGGCACCUCUGACCGACCUACUGAAGAAGGACAGACCGUGGAUGUAGGAUUACGAGUGCGAGGAUGCAUUCAGAAGGUUGAAGGAAGCAAUCACUUCCAAACCAGUGUUGCAACUUUCGGAGUUUACAAAGGCCUUCGAAGUGCACACUGAUGCUUCUGACCGUGCAAUUGGAGGAGUGCUGAUGCAAGACAAGCACCCAAUUGCGUUUGAAAGCCGAAAGCUGAAGGAGUGCGAGCAGAGGUAUAGCACGCACGAGAAAGAGAUGACGGCCGUAGUGCAUUGCCUGGAGAUCUGGAAGCACUACUUGUUGGGAACCAAGUUCGUGGUGGUGACCAACAAUGUGGCUAAUACGUACUUCAAAACGCAGAAAAAGCAGACCCCGAAGUAGGCUCGUUGGCAGGAGUUUCUGGCCGAGUUCGACUUUGACUGGUUGCACAAGCCAGGAAAGGAGAAUGCGGUUGCCGACGCGCUUAGCCGAAAGUACGUCGAAGAGUACGUUGCAGCCCUUAGCAUUGUGGAAACGGACUUCCGGGACAAGAUUAAGGCGGGGUCCCCGAACGAUCCGGGGUACCAGACCCUAGUCGCUCAGGUCCGUGAGGGCAAAGUUCGUCGUUAUUGGCUUGAAGACGACUUACUUUUUGCCAAGGGUGGUAGAGCUUAUGUCCCGGCAGGAGGGGGACUUAGGCGACAGUUGCUGCGAGAGACCCACGACACUCCUUGGGCUGGUCAUCCAGGGGUGGAACGAAUGAGGGCCUUGCUGUCGCGGAGCUUCUACUGGCCAAAGAUGGAGGAGGAUAUUGAAGCGUACGUGAGAACAUGUCUUGUGUGCCAACAAGACAAGGUGGGAAGGAAGAAGGAGCCAGGCUUGUUGCAGCCUUUGCCGAUCCCUGAUCGACCAUGGCAAUCGGUCUCAAUGGACUUCAUUUCGGGAUUUCCUAAGGUCGAUGGUAUGGCUUCUGUUUUUGUAAUCGUAGAUCAAUAUUCUAAGUAUGCUAUCUUAUCGGUGCGCCGAAGGCGUGCCCGGCUGAUGUUGCCGCUGAGUUGUUUUUCAGAAAUGUUGUGAAGUACUUCGGUUUACCUGAAGACAUCAUAAGUGAUAGGGAUACCAGAUUCACGGGGAGAUUCUGGACCGUGUUGUUCGGAUUGCUGGGAUCCGAACUUAAGUUCUCUACUGCCGCCCAUCCUCAGAACGACGGACAGACGGAGAGGAUCAAUGCCUUGCUGGAAGAGUACCUAAGGCAUUACGUGACGGCAAGUCAGAAGAAUUGGGUGGAGUUGCUGGAUGCCGCGCAGUUUUGCUACAAUCUGCACAAAUCAUCCGCAACAAAGCUGAGUCCGUUCGAGUUGGUAAACGGGCAACAACCCUUGACUCCGCAUGAAGUUGCCCUUCAAGGCGGGAGUCGUUGCCCAACCGCACACCGGUUUGCUCGUGGCAAGCAGGAACUGGUGAACGAAGCAAGGGAUAGCUUGCUGGUGGUGCAACAACGCAUGAAGAAAUAUGCGGACCAACAUAGACGGGACUUGGAAUUUCCAAGUGGGAGAUCAAGUGAUGCUGAAGUUGACUCCCCAGAUUUGGAAGAAAGUGAGCAGCAAAACCGUCCAUCGUGGGCUCAUCCCGAAGUACGAUGGACCGUUUGAGGUGAUCAAGAAGGUGGAUCGUGUAGCCUAUCGGUUGAGGUUGCCUGACCGACUAAAGAUCCAUCCGACCUUCCAUGUGAGCUUCUUGAAACCCUUCAACCAGGACGAGAUGGAUGAAGGGUGGAGGCAAGCAAAACGUGCCCCGUCAGUGAUCCGCAAGCAAUUCCAGAAGGAGGUGGAAGCUGUGCUGGACCACAGAACGAUGGGGCAGAGCAAAAAGAACAAACGGACAGAUUAUCUGAUCCAAUGGAAGGGCGAAACCGAGUUGGAUGCUACUUGGGAACGGGAUGUAACCUUGUGGCAGUUCGAAGACAAAAUUGCUGAGUAUCUGAGGAACGUGCGGAAGCAAGCCAAGUUGACGAGGGCGUCAACCUCUUCAGGUGGGGGUGGUUUGUUAGCCCCUUAGGACGCGGUCCAGACGGAACGCGCGCAGCCGUGGCCAAGUUCGGCCAAGCUAUGGCCUAGGUGGGAGGCCGAGGGUGAAACUUGUUGGAAACGAGUGGACCCAUGUGUGAUGAUGUUUUCCUAGCCUAAGUAUGGGUUGGGGAAAGUUCCAAGGGCAUCAGGUGCUUCUGGGUUAGUUGGGGACAGAGGGGUGCCUCUACUAACGGUUGGAAGUUUUCCCUUAAGACACCUAUAUAGAGGGAUAACUGUAACUAAGCCAAGUCAAGGCCAAGGGCCGUGGGUCAAGGCCAAGGGCCGUGGGUCAAGGCCAAGGGCCGUGGGCCAAGGCCACGGAUUGACUAUGGCUCGGUGGGAUGUUUGGGUGGUUCCAAGGGUUAGGAACCACGGUGCCUAAGAUUGCUAAGUGUUGGGGCAAGUUGGGCACGGAACGUGCGAUGGCGGGAAACGGGGCGCGCGGAAUUGCUGGACGGUUGCUGGUGCGCGCCAAAGAAGAACGUUGGGCAGUUGCCAACCGUUGAGGGUGGUUGCUGGGAGUUGCUGGCGGUUACCAGCAACUCAGCCUUGUUCCUAGCCGGUUCCUUAUUUCGUGGACAUUCAGUUAAGACCAGCGGUUGGGUCUUUUGUCAACCGUAACAUGCCUAUAAAUAUUGGGUUAGGCAGAGACUAAAGGGCAGAGAGUCUCAGAUAAUGAGAAUCACCCUUAGAUGUUCUGCACGCCAAGUGUUUGUAGAAAUUCCUUGUAAGCGUUAUAGUGCAAUACAGGGUUGGCCAUGUUGGCUGUAACUUGUGCGUGUGAUCCUUUACUUUGCCUAAGUGUUUUGUGUUCUAAAUACUUGUGGGAAAGUGUGUGUCGCGUAGGCUGACUGGUAGAGGGACUUACCAGUGCCAUCACGUGGUUGGUUUAAUUGAGGAAGUUAAACACCUUCGUGACAGGAUCCAUGGCUUUUGCAGUUGUUAAUGACAAUUGCAUCAUACAGUGUAUAACUUGAUAUAAUAAAAGUUAUCACUAAACGAACGAAUGUAAACGCUAAUAAAACGACAUGCAAAAACACAAUAAUUUUUAUCAACCAUUGCAAUUUGUGCCUACUAACUCAAUUCCAACCAUCCAACUUCAUCUCCACCAUGAAAUGUUCGCUGUAGUCACUACCGUGAAUGCAGAGGAUCCAGAUUCCAUUAUGAGGGGCAUCUCAAAAAAUAGUACACUACCUUAGGAAUCCAAUCAAUACGACGGCUUCAAUAUUGAGAACAUCAAUCAAAGAGAAAAAGAAGGGAGAUAGGUGAGGGAACGAGUCGAAAGCCUGCCACAUAUAUUAGUGUCUUGCAUGAUUUAGGCUGCCAAUUCAAUUGGGUAUUUGCGAGUUACAAAAUCAUUAAACUUUUCGAAGUCUUGCUUUACCUAUUAUACUAAUUUUCAUAUGUAGUGACAAACUAAACUAUUAAAAGUGAUUAAUUCAACAAUUUGAUCUAUACUUGUCAAGUCAUAUUUGCAAGGUAGGAUUUUGAAAAAGUUUGGUCCCUUAUAAAGCAGCUUUUUAGAAACAUUUUUAUAAAUUUAAGAAGAAUAUAACAAGCAACUUCUCAUAUUAAUGUUGUGACACUUUGGGUCCAACUCCCCCAUUAAUUGGCUUUGAUAUGCGAGGGUUCGCUGAGGAGAAAUGACAGACCGUGUAGAAAAGAGGAGGAACAGAAGUGCGUGUGGUUUGCUGCUUAAGCCUUAACAAAAGCCCUAUUGUCUUUGGUUUGGUGUUGCUUUUAGAGUGGGAAUUUUGUAAUUGCAACAUGAAUUUUAAUUAAAAUAUGUAAUUGCAACAUGUCUAAGGUUGUGCCUUACUAUAUUCAAAGUAAUAGAGAAGCAAAAAGCUAAAAAAUCAUUAUAGAAACAAAUAGCAAACAUUUUGCACAUAACAGAGCAGGUGCAUGUUGCAUUACUAUUAAUUGUGAAAGGGUCUAUCUAAGGGAUGCCAUGGGUACUUGUUACAAUGUACUUAAAGCGUACGAAUUUUGAAAAGGUAAGAUUAAUUAAGAAAAGUAUAUAAAUAUAAGAAAGGAUAAUAAUUAUUAUUGUAUACAUACAUAUAUAUAUAUAUAUAUAUAUAUGGUAAGUUGGAUGAAAUUUCGGUGUAUUAAUUAGGUACCUAUUAGAAAAACCCGCUGUAAAAUGACAAUUAUGACUCCUGAUUGAACAUUUAUUGUUGGAAUAUGUUUUACAUACCUAACUUCUUUUCAUUUGUUUGGGCUAGUAAACGCUCGAAAUAAAAUGUAAAGUGCCUUUAAGAUUCUUUUCUAUUGUUGAAGUUAGUGUGUAAGUUAAGAAAAUAUCAUGAAUUAGGGAACAUUUUUCUAAUCAGAAAGUAGAGUGAAGGGAAGAAAUAUUAAACAAAUAAGAUAAUAGCCAUUAACUUCGUUCCACAUUGCCUUUGCACCCCUUCAAUUUUUUGAAAGCUACGGAACAACCUAUACAAAGUUUAGAGUUUUUAUAAUUGCCCCACUUUUGCCCCCUUCCCCUGCAUUUUCAAUCUAUUCCAUCUAGUUCUAUCAUUGUCCCUUUGAAACUAUUGAAAUUUUUUACAGUUGUCUUCUCCAUUUCUACAAUGAAAACUUGAAAGAAAGUAUAAUACUAUUUGUAUGUCCUUUCUAAUUAACCUUAUUUGGCUUAAUAUUGAACUCCACUUAUAUGUCUAAGCAUAUAAAUUACAAGCAAAUUGACAAUUCAUCGGAUAGUUUGGUCAAAUACACAUUAGUUAUCUAUUGUAUAUAUGAAUGUACAUAGGCUUGUCAACGGGUCGGGUCCGGGCCGGAAUUCAUUAUUCCAGACCCGGACCCGGCACACUAUAUCGGAUCCGGACCCGACUCGUUUACCCGAUGGGUCUUUACUCUAUGUUCCGGAUCCAGAUCCGACGGGUCCCGGAUCCGGAUCCGGGUCUACCCAAAAAAAAACUAACAAAAUUUAUAAUUUCUAACAAAAAUGAGAAAAAACAUAUAUUUAUAAACUAAUUUCUAACUAAUACAAAAAAAAUCAAAUAAGAAAAGAAAUCAAAUUAACCUUACUCAAAUACAUCAUCCUAAUCAAAUUAUAUUGAUUAGGAUCCGGGUCCAAUUAUAUUGAUUACUCAAAUACAUCAUCCUAAUCAAAUUAUAUUAAUAAAUAUAUAUAUUUUAAAUUAGUAAUCCAUUUAUAUCCGGAUCUGGGUCCAAUACGGGUCGGAAUACUAUAUUUCGUAUCCGACCCGUUUUUUUGUUUGGCAAAAUGGAUCCGGAUCCGGGUCUGGGUAACGGAAUUAAAUCCCUACCCAUACCCAGAUAAAUUUGACGGAUCCGGUCCGGGUCCGGGUCUAGACCCGGACCAUUGACAGCCCUAAAUGUACAUCUCAUAGAUUUAUGCCUAAUAUUAACUAUUGUAUAAUUUUAUACCAUUAGAUGACCUGAUAACUAUUAAAUGCAAAAUAAAUGACAACCUAUACACAAUUCUUAUUUUAUUUUUGCAAUAUUGAAUAAAUUGCUUCACGUCUAUUAGCCUUAUGAGAAACAUUUAGUUGACCUACAAGUUCACAAACCACAAAGUGGUAAAUUUAAUAUAAAUUAUUUUAAGCUAAACCACAAAGUGUUUAGCCACUGCCUCCAGAGGAAGGUUAUUUCAUAAAUAUCUGAAUAGAGGGGAUAAAAUAUAUGUCAAUGUCUGCCAUAAUUAUGUGAAUCCUAGUUUUAUUUAGCAAUGGUUGCCGAUUUUGCAGUAAUUUUUUUUUUUUUUUUGAUCGAAACGAUAGCUUUGCAGUACCAUUCCACACUUUGCAGAAAUCUAAAUAUUGGGUGUUUGAAUAAUGUCAAGCUGAAAGUUAAAAAACCCAUUGGGUAGUCAAAUGUCGAAAUCAGAAGUAUCUUAAAAAAUUCUGGAUCUCUGACAUUAGCCAUUCCACUGUAGAAUGAUGUGCACAUUUGUCAGUCUCUGAUGCUUUACCCUCCCACUUAAAAGUAAGCAAAGUAAACAUUCAUCUAUGCAAGCAUAGCUCAAAAUUCCAUAGCAGAAUAAAAUUCUUAUAUCAGUUCCUACACUACAAAGAUGAAGAAGACAAAGCUUGUUUUUGUUCCAUCACCAGGCAUAAGCCACCUAAUAUCCACAGUUGAGCUCUCCAAGCGCUUAACUGAAAGAGAUGAUCAGCUAUCAAUAUUUGUUCUGGUCAUAAGCUCGCCUGUUGGCCCAGACUCGGAGUCCUACACUCAAGAAGUGGCUGCUUCAAACACUAGUAUUCAAUUCAUCAACAUUCCUAAAGCAGAUCCCAAUCUACCAGAGGCCUUGAGCUCCCCAGAAAAUUUUUAUGCUCUCUAUUUGGAAAGCCAUAGAUCCCAUGUCAAAACAGCAAUAAUUGGUCAAGUACUAGUAUCAGAAUCCAUCACUUCUCUUGCCGGGAUGGUUGUUGAUCUAUUCUGUAGUUCGAUGGUUGAUGUAGCGAAUGAGCUUGGCGUUCCUUCAUAUGUGUUCUUCACCUCUGGCUCUGCCUAUCUUGGCUUCUUGUUUUAUCUUCCAAUUCACUAUAGCCAAAAUGGAAGAGAGUUCGAGACUUCAGAUUCUGAUUCAAUUAUUCCAACUUAUUCUCACCCUGUACCGUCAAAGGUUAUACCUUCUUUAGCAUUUAACAAGCAUGGUGGUUAUUCCUCAUUCAUAAAACAUGCUACCAAGUUCAAGGAGACAAAAGGAAUCAUCAUAAACACGUUUGCAGAAUUAGAACCUCAUGCUGUGGAUCGAUUGAAAUUCGAUGCUGAAACACCGCCAAUCUACACAGUUGGACCCCUGCUCGACCUGGAGGGCAGAAAGCGAGAGCCUGAUCACGAAACAAUAAUGAAAUGGUUAGAUGAUCAGCCUCCAUCAUCAGUUGUAUUUCUCUGUUUUGGAAGCAUGGGUAGUUUUGAGCCUGACCAGUUAGCAGAGAUGGCACUUGCACUCGAGCGGAGUGGAUACAGAUUCUUGUUGUCAGUCCGGUUAUCAAAGGUCUUUACAAAAGGGACAGGUGAACAUU
rnacentral:lncRNA from 1 species